rnacentral:lncRNA from 1 species
UCUCCUUCACUUUUUCCUCUAACUUUUCAUCAACCUUAACCUUUUCUUCCUCUUGAAUCAAUUCCUGUUUCUCUUUCUGUGCCUUGAGCUUUGCUUCCUCAUCCUCUAUCUUUUUCUUUGCUUCCUCCUCAUCCUUUUUCUUUGCAAUCUCAAGAGAUUGAAUCAAAUUCUUCAAGCAACUUUCAAAAUCUUCAGUGAUUGACUUUGGCAUCAAAUUCUCAGCAACAUCAGCAGGUGUCAUAUUAGUCUCUCCCAACAACUUUUCAAUAAUUGGAAACAAAUCAUCAUGAGUCUCAACAUCUAAGUAGUUUCUUGCAAGAACCUUGAAAGCUUGAUAGCUACAAUAAGACAUUUCUAUAUGCUUAUCCAUUCUUCCCCUCCUUAUAAGAGCAGGAUCAAGUUUGUCCACAAAAUUUGUUGUGAAAAUUAUUAUCCUCUCUGAUCCACAUGCUGACCAAAUUCCAUCAAUGAAAUUCAACAAACCAGAAAGAGUUACCUUACUUUCAUUUUUCUCUUCUUCUUCAGCUUUCUUAAUAGGAUCCUUCAUUUCAUCAUUCUCAUCAUCAUCUUUCUUUUUUUUCUUCUUCCUUUGCCCAGUGAGAUCGAGAGAACAAUCAAUAUCUUCGAUAACUAUAAUCGAUUUACUUGACGUUUCAAUCAAAAGUCUCUUCAACUCAUUGUUAUCCUUAACAGUUGUUAAUUCAAGAUCAUACACAUCAUAGUUCAUGUAAUUUGCUAUAGCUGAUAUCAUAGUAGAUUUUCCAGUUCCUGGAGGACCAUAAAGUAGAUAACCACGUUUCCAAGCCUUUCCAACUUUAGCAUAAUACUCUUUACCUUUCUUGAACUUAAGAAGAUCAUUUAAAAUCUCUUGUUUCUUUUCUGGUUCCAUAGCUAGGGUUCCAAAUCUUGCAGGAUGCUCAAAAGUUGUGUGAUUCCACUUUUUGCUUCUAUACCCCCACCAAUUACUACUAGGGUUAUUUGUGUAAAGCUUUAGUUGCCUAUUCUUGCUCAUAAUAGAUUUUCCUUCAUCCAACACAUGUUGAAUGUAAGAGGUAGUGAUGACUUCACGAUGCUUUUUAUGGAAGGUUAGGGUUAAGAAUCUUUUUUCAUCUGAAGUAGGAUAGUAAGAAAAUGAUUGUGAUUUUGAGGUGGUGUAAUUAGCAGUCCACCAAACUUUGACUCCAUUGAACUCAUCUAUGAUUUCUUCAUUAUCAUCCAUGCUUAGGACAAGUGGGUUUUGGCUAUCUUUGACAACUUCAGCUUUAAGUCUUCUAGCUCUUUGGGAUGAGUUAUCACUAAGAUAUGUUUGGAUGAUUUUGUAAGUUUCACUUUGUUUGAGACGUUCACCGGAUAAUUCAUGAAACUUUAUAUGGAUGUAUGGAUACAUAUAGUUUGUGAAUUUGUUUGUGUAUUUUAGAAAAUAUACACGAAGAUUAGGUGGGAAAAAUUUGUCAAACAUGGCAUAUACAAACAUUAUGCUAGCCAUGAUUGAACCUAGUUGUGACCAUAGUUCCCCAAUUUCCAUCUUCAUACUUUGAAAUGUUUAAAGGUAAGAGAAAUAUUUGGUUGUUUUUUUCUUUCUAACUUUUGUGUGGUGUAUGAAGUAAAAGGGUGUGGUAUUUAUAAGGAGUAUAAUAAGAGUGUUUCAUCACGUGUUCUUCCACAUGGAAAGUAGCAAGUAGGUUUCUUUAUAUUUUCUUGUGAGUUUCUUGGUGAUUACGUUUUACUAGAUGACACAAGAGUUGGUAAAUUCAUUCAUGGGUGUGUUGAAUAUUUUGGUAGUUGAACAUUAUUAUUUGGACCACUCAUAUGUGAUCUUGCACUAUGAUUACGUGUGAACUUUAGAAUUUGGGUUGAUGCAAAUUCAUUUUUUGAUUAAGGUCAUAUCACAUCUAGCUAAUAUGUGAUUUUUUUGAGACGGCCAAAAAUCUAAAAAGUGAUCCAAUAAUAUGUGAUUUAGUGGAUAUUGAAUAUGUUUUAAUUCUAUUUUGAAAGUUGAUUUGAAUAUAAUUUAUCACAAGACAGCUUGUGAAAUGACUUCCACAAAUAUAAUAAUUUUUUUUAUGUCAUAUGACAUCGAUCCAAUGCAUUAUGCACUAGCAAUACUUGACUAUAAUAAUUCUUUAACUCAAAUUAAAUUGCACUAGUAAGGUUUUCUCAUUGACUUCUACUUGACUAUAAACCAAUAUGACAAAAGGGAAGGUUGGGCCAAUUGGCUAUUUCAUAAAAGCGUGGUUUCAAACUAAUAUGACCAUUGCAUAUUUAAAGGGUCCUCAUUUAAUAUCAAUAAAGAUAGGUAGACACCUGUAUAUUCUUUUGUAUUAUUUUGGAAAAUUUAAGUUAAUCAAAUAUAUGGUCUGCGGGAUCACAUUUUUUUCAGUUGUGUAACCACUAUUUUUUUAGUAUUUAAAAGCUGAAAAAUAUGGUCAUGCAACUAAAAUACGCGUGACCAUUAUUUUUCCACUUAGCUAACUAAAUAAAUUAUGGAAAAAUAGUGGUUACACAACUAAAAAAAUGUGGUCACACAGAUGGUAUAUUUGGUUAACUUAAAUUUUUCAGAGUGGUACAAAUUGAUAUACACAUUAAGGCUGUCUACCUAUCAUUGCUCUUUAAUGUAGACUAUCCCAUCAAAUUUGAUACCAAGGCGAAUCAAACAUAAAAUCUUGAUACAUUGAUGUGUUGCCACUCUCUUAAUCUUAAAUUCUGCCACGAAUUUCCAAGAUCCGACUCACCUAAACUUAAUUUAUAUAACAAAAUAGAGGCGUUCAAGCUCCUCUCCUUUAUUAGUAUUUUCUUUAUGUUUUCUCUAUGCAUAUCGCUUUCCUAUAUGCAAACAACACGAGAAGAUGAUCCAAUUUUAAAAACACUCCAUAUAUAUUUUAACAAUAUUUGAAGUUGACAAUAAAAUGGCAAAGGAGUUCUAUUAUUUGCGUGAUGCAAAGGGGGGAAGAAUCUCACCCAAACAAAUUAUCGUAAUUUUAAAUAUUAUUUGAUUCAUAAUCAAACAAAAAAGUUGAUUAUUUGAAUUUUUCAUGCUUUAUUUCUUUAUUGUAAUAAAAGGGAAGAAAAAGGAGAACGAGGCCUAAAUAAAUAAAUAAAAAAUAGGGCCCACAUUUUGGACUUGUUUGAUUAAUGACUCAUGAUUUACUACUUUCAUGAUAAUAAAAACUUGAGCUGAACAAGACUAACGUUAAGGAGGAAAGUUCACAGAAGACUUGACCAUGACAUUUAUUUUGCAUGUUCCUCUUGGUGGAUGGUUAAUUUGACCCCAUAUGUCCUUUCUUUUAGGAAUGGGAUGGAACCAGCGUUAAGGAAAGUUCACAUAAGACAUGUAUUUUUUUUUAGUGGGGCAAUGUUAAUUUGUAGAGAAAAAUAUAGAAAAUUAGGGGGACAAGAUUACUUGAUGGCCAAGAUUUAAGUUACCAAAUUUGUGAUGAAAAUUCAACACACCAUGCACUAGAGAAUCCAAGAAACACUUGCACAUGUGCGGCAGAUCCAGGAAUUUUAUAGAGUCUGAGCAAAAAAUUUAUUACAAGACGUUACUUCCUUCCUGCGAAUAAUUUCACAUUUCCUGCAGAUAAUUUCACAUUUCCUGUCGAUAUACUUUUCCUGCGGAUCCUAAAAUCCUAUGGUAUUACCUCACCUGGGAACCUAAAUCCUUGACAAAAUCUGCAGGAAAUGUAUUUCCUGCGGAAUUUACACGAAAAUCCGCAGAUCAAUCCGCAGAAAAAGCUAAAAGUUCUAGGAAUGGUUGGGUUUGCUACAAAGAAAGUUGGAGCUAAACCUGAACUAGUGCCCGAGUUAGCUGGGGGUGGCUCCGCCCCUGUGUACUCUAAGUCCCAACAUAGUGUGAAACAAACCCAAGAAAAUGCACAUACCUACCCUCUAAAGCUACAAUAAAUCACAUGCAGAAGAAUUUAUUGUGCUAAUAUGGUGGCCCAUCAAUGUUGGCUAAGAAAACACUCUACCUUCAACAUCAAGCGCAACAAAUUACCCAAAGUUAAUUUGACGACACUAGACUAGGAGAUAUACUUCUCAUAGAAGGCUCUAAAUUGAGAAUUGGUCAAACUAAACGCAAACAAAAUGAAUUCCAAUUUACCCUUGUCAAAAACUCGCAUUCCUACGGUAACCACAUCAAUGACGGUUUGAUCAAGAUCAAAUUAUACAUAUUUAAAGGUUGGAGGAUCUAAGUUUUAAAAAGUCAAAAUCAAUUUAAAAUAUCCAUUAUCGAUUCUCGAUCCAACAAUGUCUAACGUUGUGUUGCAUGUGUGUGAGGCUCUUAGGACCACAUGAAAUCUAAUUUCAAUAAAAACGUGGUUCCAAAAACAAAUCAGAGACUCUCGAUAGGUAAAAAAACAAAAUUACCAUAAGAGAACUGUAUCUAAAGUAUGAGUUAUCAAUAAAAAGUACUUAAUAAUUAGGAAUAUGUGCUAUUAAUUUGUUCUGGAUCAACAUAAAACCCAACAAGAAAGGCCCAAUAAGCCAAGACCGAUUUCGCUCCGGGUCAAGUAUAGCAAAGGUGCACACGAGGCUCUGUGCGGCUUACCACAUAGGAGCACACCUAGAGUUAAUAUCCGUAAUUGAAGCCAUCCUUAACGAGUUAUGUACAUCACGCCACAAAUCAGGGAGACAAUCAUCAACCUCCUCGCCUAUAUAAGCGCAACUCAGUGUCACACUCAAGGUACUGUUCAUUCACCACCUUUUCGCACAAAUCCACCUCUUUUUGAUACUUACUUGAGCGUUGUACUACUAGCAUGUCUACAAGCACCAUUCUCCUCUGCCAUAGAAGAUUGCUUUGCUCCAUGCGCACCACCGCAACAACAACUAUUUCUAUAAGAGAACCACCACUACAUCUCCUUGCUAUGCACCGGACAUACCAUAAUUUUUUUUUUUACCAAUGUUAUAAAUUAAAUACUAUAGAAGCUGGAAUCUAUUAAAUAUGAUAGUUUAAUAAGCGACACAACUUGGUUUUAGGCCCCGUUUGGAUUGGCUUAUUUUGAGCUUAUGUGGGCUUAUCUACUCCCAUAAGCCUUUUUAAAGGUGUUUGGGUAAAUAAAUAAAAAUAGCUUAUCAUAGUUUCAUGAGCUGCUCAUGCCAUAUUUUAAUAAGCCUAAAUUUUCAGCUUACCCUCUGGCUUAACAAGGAGCUUAUGAAUUUAUGUAACCUCCUUCGAUUCUCUCUGGAGCCACUUUUUCAAAACAUAUAUUUUAAUUAUAAUUUUUUUUGAAGGAAUAUUUUAAUUAUAAUGUUAGUUAUCUUUGGCGGUGCAUCAAUAACAAAAUUGCUAUAUACUUAUCUUAUUAAAGUAACAAACAUAACUAAGAUUUUUUUUUUUUUUUAAGAAGAUUUUUAUUAUUUUUUGUGUUACGUAACAAAAUGAAACUGAAUAAAAAAACAAAUUUAACUUGUCUUUUUUGGGUAAAAAACUGCACACUAAUAUCAAUAUAUAUGAUAUGUUUAUUUACACCUCUAAUGUUAAUUUUGUCUUAUAUGAAUAUUGAUAUUUUUUUUAGGACAAAUAUUGAUUAUACUAUAUAUAUAUAUAUAUAUAUAUAUAUAUAUAUAUAUAUAUAUAUAUAUAUAUAUAAUUAUAAUUAAUAUGUUAUAAUAUUGUUUUUUUACGCCUUGAUUAAUUUUAUCAAAAAAAAUCUUGAUAAUUGUGGUUCAAUUCUUUGAUUUUUUUGUUAAAUUAAAAAUAUUUAAAAUUUCGAUAAUUGCUUAUGUAAUGUCACAUCCAAACACUUCAAUUUAUGUAAGUACUUUUUAGUGUACAUAUCCAAACAUAAAUAGCUUAUCAAGUAUAAGAGCUUAUGAUAUAAGUUCUAAUGUUAUAAACACUAAUGCUAUAAACAUCUAUAUAAGCUGUUUAUCCAAACGGGGUCUUAGUUUUAAGGAAAACUUGGUUCUUUACAAGCCAAUUAGUCUUUAUAUAACUCGUUCUUAUAUAGCCUUUGAUAUAGUGUUCUAUUUACGCGACCAUUCUUUGAUAAAUACUUCAUCGUUCAUUCAAAUAAUAUUGACCAAAUUAUACUCUUCUUUCAUAAAGAGAAGCUUGAAUCACGCCUCCAUUCCUCGAGAAUUAAAACCUUACUCUAAAUAUUAGGAUUAGGCCUACCUCAGCCCUAUAAAACUAGAGUGUAAGGCGAUGACUACCUCUAACUUAUGGACAUAUGUUCAUGCCAUUUCUUAGAAUAUCCGUGUUGAUUCGGAGAAGGCUGAAGAAUUACAGGAACUUUUAACACAAGUUUCACCGAAGGUAUGUGAUACCAUUCUGUUGGAUAUGAAAGAAAUACAAAAGUUUUACGGUAAAGUCUUGUUAUUCGAUAUGUUGCUUAGCAUGAGGAAUGAAGUCGUGUUUAACAACAACUUUCAAGAUACACACUGACAUAAUUGUUUUUAGGAGAAUGCUAAUGAGUGCCUUUGGAGCAUUGGUUAAGUUCUUAAAAUUAGUAAGUUUGCAUCAAAAAGUGGUGUAGUUAUUGCAAAACAAAAGUAAAAAUUUAUAUUUUCAAGACAAAGUUUCUACUAAUGGAUUCCUUAACCAAUGUCCUUAGAGCACUGGUUACCAAAACCUUUUUUAUUUUAUAAAAUUAUAGGGUUGACUUGUUAAAGCGACCCUUAAAAAAAAGAUCACCUUAGCAAGCCGACCCUAUGAUAUAAGACAUUAAAUCGAUGUAUGAAAAAUUAUUUUUGUUUGGCCUUUUUUUUGUACAAAUUUUUGUUUGGCUUUCUAUUAGGUGGAAUUUGGAUGCAUUGGAAAACUUUAUUGCUCUUAACACCUUGGUAAUUGGUAAAAGAUAAAUGUGCAUAGAAAUUGCUUCAUUUAGUGUCGUUAGCUACAUUAUGAAGUACUAUUUGGUUGAUGAGAAAUGAUUUUCUUUUCAAUAGAAAUGUGGCAAAUAUGACUGGAAUAUUUGAUAAAAUUUAACGGUUGUUUCGGUAGGGUUAGAAUCCUAACUCGUUUCGGUAUGUGUGGAAGAUAGGCAAAACAAUUUGAUUUUUAUAUCCGUGGAAUAGCCCACUAUCAUACAUUAAAAAUAGGCUAAAUAUCACUUUUGGUCCUUUUAAUUUGAAAGAAUUCUCAAGUUAGUCGUUUAAGUUUCAAAAGUUUCAAUUAGGUCCUUUUAAUUUGACAGAAUUCUCAAGUUAGUCCUUUAAAUUUCAAAUAGGUUUUUUUAGUUGAUAAACUAUUUCAUUGUUACCCCUUCUAUCAGUCUAAUUUUAACUGAUGCUGAUGUAGCCGUUAAGUUGUUGACUUGGAUAAAAAUGCUAAGCUCCAGGGUGUCAAAACGCUACAUUUAAUGGUCACAAAUGAUCAUUUAUAGUGCUGGAACGAUCAUUUGUUACCAUUAAACGUAACGUUCUAACACCCUGAAGCUUUUAAAAAACAGCGUUUUGAUCCAAAUCAACCACUUAACGGCUACAUCAAUAUCAAUUAAUUAUUAACUAACAACAGGUAUAACGGUGAAAUAGUUUAUCAACUAAAAUGACCUAUUUGAAACUUAAAUGAUUAACUUGAGAAUUCUGUUAAACUAAAAGGAUCUAUUCGAAACUUUUGAAACUUAAAUGACUAACUUGAGAAUUAUGUUAAACUAAAAGGACCAAACGUGAUAUUUAGCCUUAAAAAUAUGAUUUUUUAAAGUGUAUUGGGUUUUUUUUUUUUAAAGAAAGUGUAAUGGGUUUUUAAUACCCUUGUAUUCAUGUUAAUGCAUUUGCUUAUAAAAAAAGUCGCUUAUCAGUAGAUCACACUUAAUUUUCAGUUCAUGAUUGAUGAUGAAAUCACAUAUUAGAUGUAAUGUAACUUUAAAUAAAAAAUUAGUUAGUCUAAAAUCAAAUUCCAAAUAUCGCACUCUAUCACUUUAAAAAGGAAAAUUAAAAAAAUAUCAUAGAAAUUGUUAGUAUGUCAUAAAUAAUAAUUUUUUCAUAAAGAAUGAUGCAAGGAUGAAGGAUAGUGCGAUUGAAAACGAUAUAUUUUGUCUUACUGGGAAAAAUAUUUAGCCGGCAUUCCAAAUAAAUAAUGUUCAAAUACCAUUUUUCGUUUUUAUAUAUUUUCUUUGGUUAUGUGAAUUUUUGUUUCUUUUGUCGUUAUUUGUUAAUCUAACCACUCUUUGAUGAGUUCAAUUCUCACUGUUUUUGUGAACUUUGAGGCAUGCUUUAUGCUGGUGAGUCUUGAAGUCAAGAGAAACUCUUGCAUGAUCACAACCCUAAAUUGAAAAUAAGCUUAAUAGCAGUUUUCGCUCUCCAACUUUUACAAAGUUGCGAUUUUGGUCCCCUAAAAAAAAAAAAUACAAAACCGUCCCCUAAGUUUUGCAAUUGUAGCAGUUUUGGCCCCCCAAUGUCAAUUUUUGGUAAAAUAAAUAAAAAAAAAAACACGUGGUACCUCACUUAGGGUGCCUUAGGGUGCCACGUCAACGUAGAGCGAGUCAAAAUUGGUUUUGCGGGCCAAAACUGCCACAAAUGCAAAACUUAUGGGACUGUUUUGUAGUUUUUUUUUUCUUCUUAGGAGGUAAAAGCGCAAUUUUGAAAAAGUUAGGGGUCUAAAACUGCUAUUAAGCCUUAAAAAUAUUUGAGUGCAUACACGCAAACGACAUAAAUUAAAAGAGAAAUAAACCAAUCACACCAUUUUUUACUUUUAUUUUUAAAUUUUUCUUAUUCUAGUGUGUGUGCCUAAGCAUAUUUUAUUUAUGUUUGUAACCAAUUUAGACUUUCUUUUAUUAAAAAGAAAAAUUAACUACUCUUGUGUCUCAUAGUAAAACAUGGCCCCCAAGAAACUCACAAGAAAACAAAGAGAACCUACAUAGUCUUUUCCAAGUUGUGAAAGAAGAACACUUGAAAACACUCUUAAGUAUCAUACUGCUUAUAAAUACCACACACCUAUUGAGUUUAUACAACACAAAAGUUAGGAUCAUAACCAUAUACAUUACCUAACAUUUAAACAUUUCGUAUCAUAAGAGAUGGGAAUUAGGGAAAUAUGGUCAAACCUAGGCUCAAUAAUGGCUAGCAUAAUGUUUGUAUAUGCCAUGUAUGAGAAAUUCUUCCCACCAGCACUUCGUAGAUAUCUUCGAAAAUACACUCACAAAUUCACCAACUUCAUGUACCCUUACAUCAAAAUAACCUUCUAUGAGAAAUCAGGAGAUAAUCUCAAACACAACAAAACAUACACAACCAUCCAAACAUAUCUUAGUGCUAACUCUUCACAAAGAGCUAGAAGACUUAAAGCUGAAGUUAUCAAAGAUAGCCAAAAUCCACUUGUUCUAAGCAUGGAUGACAACCAAGAGAUCACAGAUGAGUUCAAUGGUGUCAAAGUUUGGUGGUCAGCAAAUCACAUCACCUCAAGAACACAAUCAUUUUCAAUAUACCCUAGUUCAGAUGAGAAAAGAUUCUUAACCCUAACUUUCCAUAAAAGGCAUCGUGAACUCAUCACUACCUCUUACAUACAACAUGUUUUGGAACAAGGAAAGGCUAUAACAAUGAAGAAUAGGCAGUUGAAGAUUUACACUAACAAUCCAAGUAAUGAUUGGUUUAGGUAUAGAAGCACAAAGUGGAGUCACACAACUUUUGAGCACCCGGCAAGUUUUGAAACACUUGCUUUGGAACCAAAAAAGAAAGAAGAGAUUCUAAAUGAUCUUGUUAAAUUCAAGAAAGGGAAAGAGUAUUAUGCUAAAGUUGGAAAAGCUUGGAAACGUGGUUAUCUACUUUUUGGUCCUCCAGGAACCGGUAAAUCUACCAUGAUAUCGGCUAUUGCUAAUUUCAUGAACUAUGAUGUGUAUGAUCUUGAAUUAACAAUUGUCAAGGAUAACAAUGAGUUGAAAAGACUUUUGAUUGAGACGUCGAGUAAAUCGAUUAUUGUUAUUGAAGAUAUUGAUUGUUCUCUCGAUCUCACCGGGCAAAGGAAGAAGAAAAAAGAGAAAGAUGAUGUUGAGAAUGAUGAAAAGAAGGAUCCUAUAAAGAAAGCUGAAAAAGAAGAGAAAAAUGAAAGUAAGGUAACUCUUUCGGGUUUGUUGAAUUUUAUUGAUGGAAUUUGGUCAGCAUGUGGAUCAGAGAGGAUCAUAAUUUUCACAACUAAUUUUGUGGAUAAACUUGAUCCUGCUCUUAUAAGGAGAGGAAGAAUGGAUAAGCAUAUAGAAAUGUCUUAUUGUAGCUAUCAAGCUUUUAAGGUUCUUGCAAGAAACUACUUAGAUGUUGAGUUUCAUGAUGAUUUAUUUCCAAUUAUUGAAAAGUUGUUGGAAGAGACUAAUAUGACACCUGCUGAUGUUGCUGAAAAUUUGAUGCCAAAGUCAAUCACUGAAGAUUUUGAAAGUUGCUUGAAGAAUUUGAUUCAAUCUCUUGAGAUUGCAAAGAAAAAGGAUGAGGAGGAAGCAAAGAAAAAGAUAGAGGAUGAGGAAGUAAAGCUCAAGGCAGAGAAAGAGAAACUAGAAUUGGCUCAAGAGGAAGAAAAGGUUAAGGCUGAUGAAAAGUUAGAGGAAAAUGUGAAGGAGAAUGGUGUGAAAGAGAAUGGCGUCAUCCAUUGAUUUGGAUUAGAUUAAUUUCAGUAUUUAAGUCAAUUUAGUGUAUUCAGUAGUCUAAAUAAUAUUUUGAACCUUUUAUAUAAAAGCAUGGUUAAGUAUUAUUAUGUAUAUGUUCAUAUUUUUUGUUUUAAUCAAGUAAAUAAAAAGGCUAGAGAGGAGGAGGAAGCAAAACUAAUGAAAGAGAAAGGUAAACAAGAAAAUGCUCAAGAGGAAGAAAAUGUGAAGGCUAAUGAAAAUUCUAAGGAGAAUGGUUUCAUCCAUUAACUUGGAUUGGAUUAGUUUCUGUAAUAUUAAUAAUAUUUUUAAACUUUAUAUUAAAUCCUUAAUAAUGUAUUAUGUUGUUCCUCUACAAAAAUAAAAAAAGUAUUAUGCUGUUCAUGUUGGUUGCUUUUGAUUGUUAACGGCCAUGUUUAGGUGUUUGCAAGGGGAAAUUAGUAAAUUUUUCUGCACAUUUUAGGGCAAAUUUGUUGUUGUGCACAAUUGUGAGUUAUAUGUUUCACAUCGGAUAAAAUAAUAAAAGUUGAACACCUUAUAAGUAAGAGGACCCCAUAAACUCAUUGCCUUAAGGUUUUGGGUAAGAGUGUGGUAUCUCUCUUGCUUGAGUGGUUGUUCUAGCCUCGAUGUGGACGGUCCCCCUAACUCCCCUCAUGAUCCAACAAAAUCACAUCAAAGAUUAUGUAUAUUAGGAUUAGGAUAGGAUAGGAUAGGAUAGGAAUGGAUUAGGAUAGGAUAGGAUAGAAUUAUUUCUAAACUUUCUUUUUUGUUUACAAAAUAAAAAAUACCUCACUUUCAAAUUAAACAUCAAGAUAGUUCCACGUCUAAAAUUUCUACCACGUCUAGUUCAAGAUAUCAAGGAUAUAAUACCUUCAACCUACAACAAAUUUCAUUAAUUUGUUUUUAAGAAAAUGAAAUUGAUUAAAAAAAAUCAGAAAGGAAACAUUUUAAAAAAAUAAUAUUUACUUUUCUGCGUGAAAGAUCAAAUGGGCUAAUAAUUAGAAUGUGAAUAAAUUUGAGGUGUAUUGUGUGAUUAAGUGGAAUCUAAUUUAGAGUUUUAGAUGAGUAGUAUGAAUAUUUAAAAAAUGUAGUUGAGUGGUUUAAAUAAUUGGGAAGUGUGAAGUAAUAUAAUGUAUUAUGUGAAACUCAUUUAUACCACCCAUAUCGGUGGCAUGAUGUGGUUGCUAUGGGCUAUAUAUAAUGGCCAUACUUGGUGAAAGCUAUUGUGAGAUGGAUAACUCUACUCUACCGAUCUUUGGUAUAUGUACAAACAAAAAAUUUGCCUAAUAUUAUAUUACUUGUUUACGCAAAUUUGACAUUAAUUGUUUAAUUUAUACUCUAGCGAUGUUACCCGAUAGAAGAAUACAAAUGCUAAAGGAUGAUUCUGAUGUUAACAUUCUAUCAUCUAAUAUUUAAGCAUGCCAACUCUUAUGUUUUUUUAAUGAAAGUUGAGCAUGCUAACUUUUCUUAUUUUAGGAUUACAUUUCAUCCCGUUUCAACUACAAAAACAUCAGAAAAGUUCAUCAAUUGAGAGUAAAACCACAGAUAACAUAAAGCACGCAUGGAAACAAUUAGGGUCACUUAUAUAGCCACAAUCAUGUUCAUAUAUGCCAUGUUUAAGAAGUUAUUUCCUCGUUCCUCCUGCUCUAGUUACAUUAUAAAAAGUCUGAAAUCAACCAAAAGAGAAAACAUACUAAGACGGAAGCUUAACAUUUUCAAUACGCGAUUAAGCCUCCAAAAAUGAUAAUCAAAAUUCAAAGCAACAUAUAUUAAUUUCAACCAUAAAAUAAAAAAGACGGAGGCUUAACAUUUUCAAUCAAAGCUUACAAAUGCUUCUCCUUGUCCUGAAAAAAUCAUUUAUUCCUCACUUAGUGAAUGACCCAAAUCACGAAAAGUCAAAUAAUAUUAAGAGCCGAACAUUUUUAGAAUAACCCCCUAACCCACCAAACUAACCGAGGUAAUCCAAUAAAUUGCCUUGAGAUGUCAUUGAGAAACCUAACCAACUUGAAAUUAGAGGCAAGAUUCUACCAUACAAAUCACAUUUCACAAAUAAGUGAUCCAUGUCUUCAUUCAAACCAUAAUUUACCGGAUAAUAAUCUACCACCUAUGGAAAUUAUCCUUUGUUGGAACACGGUUAAGAAGCAAACACCAAACAAAAAUAUUAAUUUAGUGGAACUGUUUUUAACCACAAAACAUGAUUGUUAUCCAGAUAGGUGUUGUCUUCCACUUCAGUCAAGUUGUUAUAAACACUACCUACCGUAUAACAUUGGGAGGAAUGUAACUUCCAAACCCAUCGGUCCCACACCUUAACCAACAAAACAACUUAAGAUAAUCGCUCAACGCACUCCCCCACCAACUUCUCAUCUCAAGCAAACAAUCUCCUUCGCCACUUCCUCGUCUCACCGUUCACUCCCCAGCCUAAAGCAUUCAUAUCUGCUACAUCAUCAUUUUGUUUUCUGCUAAGUCAUAAAGCCUACUAUAUCUAAUGAUGAUAUGCUGUCAUUAUGUAAUUUUUAGGACUUAUUUUGACAGUUUGAUAGAGUUCUAAGGCAAUAUGAGGUAACCAGGGGUGUGAAAAGCUGAAAUUCUAAAAGUGCUGAAAAUAGGCAAUCGUGGCGCGAUUUUAUGUAGCAUGGCACGAUUUUGUGACCAGAGUGAAGGUUUGGUUCUGCCACUAAAAUCGUGGUACAAUUUCUGGUGGCGUGGCGCGAUUUUGCAGAAUCGUGUCUCGAUUUUGGGUGCAAAAAAUAUUUCCUAUUUUAGUUGAAGUCAGUGCUAGAAACAAGGGUUACGAUUUUGGAGAGCAAAAGUGAGAUUUUGAGACCUGAAGACUUCUAGGGGGCGACUUCAUCAACCUUUUAUCGGUUCAUGUAUGUUUUAAUUCUUAUAUUGAUUAUGCUAUUUGUAAACUCAAUUAUGAGUAGCUAAAUCUCUUAGAGAUUAGCUCUGAGAUGAUUCUAUGUCACCCCAAUUGAAAUAUGUUGUUGUGAAACUCUAUAUAUUGUGAAUAACAAUCUAGUUUUUAUUCAAUUCAAUUGUUCUUAAUGUUUUUUAUAUCAUGAUAAAAUAUAAACAUGAUUUCGUGAUAAUGAAUGACUACUGACCCUAGCUUUCAACUUAGACCUAAUUGAAUUGUUCAAAUAAACAUGGUUAGUCUAGGAAUGGAUAAUCUUUUAUUUGUGAUAUUAAGUUAACGUUCUUUAAAACCUUCAAAGAAUAUUAGACCACCUAAGGAAUUAGGGGCUGUAGUUUGAGAAGAGGGUCCUAUGUCAAGGGAUUGAUUAUGGCUAUUUUGUUAACCAUCGUGAAACUAGAGAAUCAUUCGUAAGAAAUAGGUGCAGUAUACCAAUUAGGGGGACUUAGAGGAUUCGAAAGACUUGAUCUCAUCUAUCUCCUUAUCUUUUCCAAAACUAUCUUUAUUUUCUGGUAAAUUAAUUUUAUACAAUCAAAUCUACUGCCUCAGACACCAAAAUAAUUUACACAUCCUAGAUAGUAACCUUAUUGCUAGACUGAGAUUAACACAAUCCUUGUGGAUACGAACGUAUAAAUUUUAUUACUUAAUUCAAUUCAUUUUUAGUACACUUGCUAAUAGUCUAUCAUCUAACAUUCAAAGAAAUUUUAUCGAGCCAUGGAUCUCUCCAAAACAGGGUAGAAUACCCAUCAUCCACCUCACAACCAAUAUUAUUGAGCAACCAACCCCCAUCUACGAAUCCAACACCCUCUCUAAUCUUAUUCACAUUCUCACAUCAAACAUAUCCUCUACCUCCCUCAAAACACGUUCCCCCUCCUUCCUCGCCAUACACAUCACAUUGUUGAAACAAAAAUCUUUUUGAUGAAUGUUUUAAUGAUAACAAACCUUAUGGAAUAAACACUAAGUUUUAUGAAUUGUGAUCUAUUGAUGUUUGCAUUUGAGUCUUUUCAAAGAAGUUGACAAGAAAGAAGUCUCUGACAAGUGCAUAUAUAUACUCAUUGAAAGAAUACCAAAAUAGUAGUAUCACAAGCUCAAAGAAGAUAUAAAAAGAAUAUUGUUUGAAUCAAAUGAGUGUUGAUUGAAGAUUCAACAAGAAGAUGAAUUUUAUGAUCAAUUGACUCAUCCUUGUCACCACUUGGUUUUCAACAGAGCCUUAAAGAUUCGAGGAAUAAAGAGUUAAUAUUUGAAAGGAAUGAUCUUCAAAUGAGUAUUAUGUUGUCCAUUUUGACAUCAUUAGAAUCUCAUAUAAAGACAUCAUAAGAAGGAGAAGAUCAUAAAGCUACUAACGAGCAACCUGCUUAAAAAGAUUAUGCUUAUUGAUGCUUGGAAUUCUCCAUCCAAAAGGGAAAAAAAUCCGAGAAAGAAAAACAUGUUUUUCUCAUUUAAUCUCAAAGGUACACUCAUUUAUAAGCUUUAUAAUAUCUGAAAAUUGAUAUGCAAUGUUUUGUUAUAAAUGAUUGGAUGCUCUUAGAAAUGCAUGAUAAAAUCAAUUCCAAAAAUAUGCGACUUUAAACCUUAGUUGUGAUUUGUGAUACAUGCAUCAAUCUAAUUCUUAGCCUAAAAUGAAAUAAAUCAUUCAUUAUUGGUUCCUACUCCUUUCAUGGAAAUAUAAUAUCCAUAAACAUUUUUAUAAUUCAGUUUUGAUGAUUAAAACUGUUGCAUAUGUAUUAUGUUUUGAGAAGACAUGUUAAAAAUGCAUUUAAUAUGAAUUUGUGUGUUCUAAAUUCAAUAAGGAGUUAAUGUUGUAUCAGGAGAAAUUUCUGCAUAAUAUUCCAUAAUUCUACACUCAGUUCUUCUGAGAUAUCUUUAUGAAUGGUAAAUGAUUCAACAUCAUUUUGACAAAAUUCAUCUCUCGUUAUUCUUAAUAAAAUCAUACUGAUGAUUCUUACAAUGCACUUUUAAGUAAGUUAUUGUCGUCAAAAGCAUUUUGAAUUAUUCUCAUUUUUAGUAGUUCAUCUAAAAUUUGUUCCUAAAAUGACAUAUCAUGAUAUGCCUUAGAAUUGGAUCAUAAAAAUAUCUUAAUUAUAAAAUUUGAUAACCGUAUGAAAUUUGAUGAUGUACAUGAAAUUUAUUCUAGUUUACUCAUUAAAUAUUCAUUUCUUGAUUCUUAAAUGAUAUAUUUUCAAUAUGGUUUUUGAAAAUAUUUUAAUAUGAAUUAUGAUAAUUCCAUUCUCCAAUCAUGUUUUUAAAUGGAUCCGAAAUUAGGAUUGAUCUUUGAAAGAUUUUCAAAAGAAACACAUCUUUUUUUUCUUGAACUUUUUAAAGUGUUGAGAAUGUUCUCAUCACAAUGAACAAUUAAAUUUUUGCAUCUAAAAGCCAAAUGAAUUAACACUCGUGUAAGUUUAUUUUUUUGGCAAUGCUUUAAAUGAAUAUUGAUAGCAUUGUUGAUCAAUAUAUUGUUAUGUGAAUGUCUUUCUAUAUCUUUUAUAGAAAAUAUGUUCCUGAUCAUUAAAUAAAUACUCUUAGUCUCUUAAUCAUAAUGCAUGAUAAACCUGAGAUUUAGAACAAGAAAAAUGUUAUAAUAUAAUGUUUUUGAUAAAACAAUAUAUGUCUGCCAUUUGUUUUUCUUACAUAUGUAUUUUCAUAAUUGAUUUGUAAUGACUUAUAUAAAAUCAUAUUCAAUUUCUUUCAUUAUGAAUAUUCUAAUUGAGGUAUAUCGUUGAAAGAAUUUCAACAACAAAAGAUCAUAUUACUGUUUAACAAGAGAAUAAUUUGUGUGACUUGUUUAAAAUUGAUCUAAAAAGGGAUUUACACAUUUCGUUCCUUAGCUAAUAUUAAACAUGUUCUUAUCAUGAAGUUUUGUUGAAUCAUUGUUGAAUGUAUACCUUAUUGCACUUGCAAAAUUUGCAGACAAAAAUAGAGAUAUAAACAUCAAUGACACAUCAAUAUAUAUUUGUGCAUAAAUAUGUUGCAUAAAUACUUUUCUUCUAAAUACUUGUGGAAAACAUGUAAUUGAUUUAUAUUAUAAUGAACAAAUCAUCUUGCAUAGAAUUAUCAUUUAAAGAUGUUUAUCCGAAAAAAUUCAGAAAUACCUUCAUCAUGAAAAUCUUUUGAAGAGAGAAUUUUUUUUUUUUUUUGUCAUUGUGUCAAAUGACUCUUAUUUUAUCGCUUCCACUAAAUGAAUAAUUUUCUCUCUAUUUCAAACAUUGUUGAACAUGACUAAGUAGUCAUAAUUACCAUUAUUCAUGUUUUAUAAUAAACUAAAAUGAAUAUUAAUCAUGAUACAUGCUUGAUUAAGUUUGAUGUGACAAUAUGACUUCUCAAAAACAUGAUUCUUAUGGGCAAUAUCUAUUUUUUUUUUUUUUAAUAUUCAUACCCAAUACUUUUUGAUAGAUUCCAAAAGAGGGAGAUAUAUAUAUAAUGAGAGAGAAACAUAGGAUGAGGAGAAAAAUCCAAGAUGGAUUUAAUCAAUGAAGAAUGUAAAGAAUUAACCUCUUGCAUAUGUUUAUGGGGAGUUUAAUUAGAAUGAUAAGAAUUAAACUCUUGCACGUGUUUAGGGGGAGCUUAAUUUCAUAUCUAUGAACAUUCUUACAUUUCUUAUUAUACACAUCCAUAAAACUUAAGAGUUAUUCAAAAGAGGUUUGUCAUCAUCAAAAAGGGGGAGAUUGUGGAAAUAAAAAUCUUUUUGAUGAAUGUUUUAAUGAUAACAAAUCUUAUGGAAUAAACACGAAGUUUUAUGAAUUGUGAUCUACUGAUGUUUGCACUUGAGUCUUUUCACAGAAGUUGACAAGAAAGAAGUCCCUGACAAGUGCAUAUAUAUACUCAUUGAAAGAAUACCAAAAUAGUAGUAUCACAAGCUCAAAGAAGAUAUAAAAAGAAUAUUGUUUGAAUCAAAUGAGUGUUGAUUGAAGAUUCAACAAGAAGAUGAAUUUUAUGAUCAAUUGACUCAUCCUCGUCACGACAUGGUUUUCAACAAAGCCUUAAAGAUUCGAGGAAUAAAGAGUUAAUAUUUGAAAGGAAUGAUCUUCAAAUAGCUUCUAAAAGAGUUUAAGGAAAAGGCACAAAAGUUUCAUUCAAGAGAAUGAUUCAAUGUACCUUCAUGAUUACAUGCAUGCCUAAACUAAAACAUCUCAAAGAUACUCAAUGGACAAGAUACAUUGUGUGCAAUCACCAAGAGGAAUUAUGUGAUAAAUUGCAUCAUCAACAAAAUAAUUCAAGGUUAAUUAAUCAAGAAGGUAUUAUCAUCUUAUAUAGAAGAGAACAUCAUCAACUCUGAUGAAAGAACGUUCUCAUAAAGAGGAUGCCUCUUACACUCGAGAUUAUUCUCAUCAUUUGAUUAAAAGGAUUAGAAUCAACUUUGAAGAGAAACCAAUUCAUGAAUGAAUUAUUUAUUAAGUCACUCAUUAAUGAUAUUGAUUGGAAAAAUAUCAAAGAAGAAAAUUCAUGAUCAUAUGCUUGAAGAUUCUAUCAUAAAAGAUUUAAGAUGAUCGAAGAAUCUUCCAUCAUUUUUUAAGAUAUGGUUGGGAGAAUAGAAAUCAAUCAAAGGAAUAUUUACUUUGAGAAAGGUUUCUCACGUUCUUACAAAGAACAUUAUGGUUAUACAAAGUGAAGAGAACAUCCCCACUCGAUGUUUUUAAAGAUAACACAUGUGUUAUUCUUCUUUCUCUCUCCCUCCCUCCCUCUAUCUUUUAUUUUUAGACAAUAUGCACACACCAUCACACACAUUAAUAUUUAUUUAUCUUCAGAAUAUUCUGGUCCUAAUUAAUCAAAACCAAAUUAAUUCAGAGUUCUCUGGUCCUUAAAUAACCAUUAAUAUUAUUUUAUCAUUCAGCUUAAUAAUUAAUUAUAAUUGCUUUAUAUUUAUCCAGAGUUCUCUGGUCCUUAAUUAACCAUAAUAUUAUUUUAUCCGUUAGUUUCAAUAAUUAAUCUUAUAAUUGUUAUCCAGAACAUUCUGAUCCUAAUACAACUGCUUAAUAUUUAUAUUCUUCCAGAGUUCUUAGGUCCCAGGUAAUUAUUAAUAUUGUUUUAUUAUUUUAGUCUCUUUAUUAAUUAUAUAAUUAUUAUCUAUAACCAUUGGCGGAGCCAUGUAUAAGUGAGGGGAUGCAGCUGGGCUUUUAAAUUUUGCACAUGAUGGCACUGUUUUCAUGCUACUUGAACCUACUGAUAUUUUAACAUUGCACCACCUGACCCAAAGAUUUUGCACUAAUAAGUAAUAAUCCAAGUUUUCCUCACCUUAUAAAUGACCCAAGUCUCACUUUUAUGUUGGCACAACAAUGUUUGAUUCAACGAGAAAUAAUUAACUUGCUUUUCAAUAUACUCUAUUUGGUUUUUCCUAUUACAUUUGUUUCCUUUGAUUUUGUUAUUUUUGGUAAUAUUUUCUUAUUAAUAAUUGUAAUAAUUGAAUUCCUUUUAAAGUAAUAUAUAUUACUUAAUAUUUUAUAUUCUUUCAUAGCUUAAUACUCCCACCAUCCUAAAUUUUAACAAAAAAAAUUCACUUUCUUUGUCCCAAAUUAUAAAUGAAAAAGACAAAUUUUUAUCCUAUUUAAUUAUGUUGGUUUCAAAAGUCAUCUUUUCCAAACAAAAAAAAAAAAAAACGCUAGGUGUACUCAAUUUACUCUCCCUCCCAUUUUCUCCGUAACCAAUAACCUAUGCAAAUUAUGUUUACUUCUUCCCGUGAAACUUAUCUCAAGAACACAAAAAGUUAUACACCGAAUUAUUAUGCUUUAGAAUUAUAAAUUUAAAAUCUACACAAAUUCUAAUUUUCAUUUGAUAGAUUUUGAAAUUUUUAAUUUGUACAAAAAUAUUGAAAAUAUAAAUAAAAUUAAACAUUUAUGCAAAAAAUUAGAUAUUUGAUUGGAAAAAAUGACGAAAUUUAUAAAUGUAGUAGUAUAAAUAAAUGAUAAUUAAAAGAGAAAAUAAUUGCACAAAAUUUUGCUAUCACUAAUGAAGUUGAAAGCUCGAACCCCCUACUCCAGGGUUCUGGCUCCGCCACUGUCCAGAACAUUCUGGUCCUUAGUAAAACUGCUUAAUUAUUUAAACCUUACUCUAUAUAUCCAGAACAUUAUGGUCCUUGAUAAAACAAUUGUUUAAAUAUCUAAAUAUUUUAUAAUCUUCUUUUAUCUAACAUUUAUCAAGAAUUUUCUUGAGUACAUAAACUUGUUAAGUUUCAGGAUUAAAAUUAAAAAGGGUCACAAUUAAACCCCCCUUUCUUGUGACUAUUUCUUCCACUUCAAUUGACAUCAGAGCGCUGCCUCUAAGGGGUUAGCACUUAACAGUGCUAGAGGAAAAGAUUCGGGAAGAAGUGAUGUUAAAACUUGCAAAUCAAAGUUUAUGCCAUAGAUGGAACAAGUCUAUAUAUGUCAAAAUUGAAUGUCCUCUAAACAAAGAAGAACAAAGAAGAUUCAUUUACAAAAAGAAAUCUACUAUGGAAAUUCUAGUUAACUUUGAUAACUCAAAAAUAGAAGAACAAAUCAACAUGUGUCUAAUGACAAGCAACGAAAAAGAGAUUUGAGCAAAUUCUCCGUAAGUAUGAAUAUUUUAUUUAAGAUUGUAAAGGAAGAAAUUGCAUUUUUAUGAUUUUAGGAUUAAUAUGUCUUUACCCUUUUGUAAUAUAGGUUAUUUCCGGUUUUUCCACCUGUAAAAUAUUUUUUUUUUAUUUACCCCCCUGUAACUUUUGUUUUGUUUUGAUUUACCCCCCUAAUAAGGCCAAACAAAAACGAAAAAUUCUUGAAAAAAUAAAAUUAAAAUAAAAUAAAAUAAAAUAAAAUAAAAACCGAAAAUGACCUAUAUUAUGGGGGUAAAGACUUAUUAACCCAUGAUUUUAUUUAAGGUUAGCUUUGGGUUCAAUGGUUCACUAUCUGCACCCAUUUGCCUUAAGAAAAACGAUAACUUUUUUUUUUGAACGAUUAAGAAAAACAAUAAUUUAUAGCAUCUUCAAUGAAGUAAACUAAAAUGAGUAAACUAUGUUGAUUUUUGUGGGGUCAAAUUGGUACGUAGGAUUUAACCAAUUUAUAGUUGAUCUAAAUAAUUUCUUUUAAGGCAUACAUCCAUUAUUUUUAAUGAUAGCCAUUGGUUAUUAUAAAUAACAAUGAUAUAAUAAAUAACAAAAUGAUGACUGUAGCAGAUAUGAAUGCUUUAGGAUGGGGAGUAAACGGUGAGACGAGGAAGUAGCGAAGGAGGUUGUUUGCUUGAGAGGAGAAGUUGGUGGGGGAUUGUGUUGAGCGAUUAACUUAAGUUGUUUUGCUGGUUGAGGUGUGAGAUCGAUGAGUUUGGAAGUUACAUUCCUCCCAAUAUUAUACGGCCGACAAUGCUUAUAACAACUUGACUGAAGUGGAAGACAAUACCUAUAUGGAUAACAUCCAUUAUUUACAUAUCCAUUCCUCAAAUUGAUAUGGCUCACGUGUGUCCGGGUCAUUUGGAAGGAAAUGAAUAACAUAUUUUUUAGGCUUACGUAGCAGUUUUCACCCCCAUAACUUUCACGAAGUUGCGAUUUUCGCCCCCUAAGAAAAAACUACAAAACCGUCCCCUAAGUUUUGCAACUGUAGCAGUUUUGGUCCCCAAGGCCAAUUUUUGGUAAAAAAAAAAAAAGUAACACGUGGCACGUCAGCGUAGAAUGAGUCAAAAUUGGCCUUGGGGGCCAAAACUGCCACAUAUGAAAAACUUAGGGGGCGGUUUUGUAGUUUUUUUUCUUAGGGGGGCCAAAAUUGCAACUUUGAGAAAGUUAGGAGGUUAAAACUGCUAUUAAGCCUAAUUUUUAAUCAGAAAGGUAUUGGCUCCAAAACAAAUAACAAAACAAGGUAAAAAUGUUAUCUUUCUAGUGGUUGAAGGCGGAUCUCAUUACUUUCGCAUUUAACUAUCAUGACUGGUGGAGACAUUUAUUUUCUUGUCUGGGUCUAUUGUAAUUGCUAUAUGUUUUUUCCUUGAUUUUUCGCGCAACUCUUUUAUGAGAUAUUUGUAAAUGUCUUGUAAAAACUUUUGGAUGAUUCUUCUUUUGCACGUCUUGUGCGUGAUGAAUCUCUGAUUGAUAUAAUAUAUUGCAUUUUGGGUUGUUAAAAAAAAAAUUAAAUAACAAUGAUAUAAAAUAAGCACACCUGACUAGUGUAGCAUAUGAUAACAAGUUUUUUUUUUGAAAAAAUCAAAAUGGAAUAUAUUACUCAAAAACAGAGUGAUUCACCCCGCACAAGGUGUGCUAAAAUGAUGAAUCCUCUAAUACCUGUUACAACACCACAACACCUAAAGAAAAAAGAUGCCACCACCUAAACAAAAAGGUCCAAACACUUAAAUCACACCCAUACAAAAAAGGGGAUGUCUCCACCAAUCGUAAAAGCCAAAAGCAAUAGGCUCAAUAUUCGAAGAAAGCCAGAGAAAAGAAUUUAACUUAACUUUUUCGACAAUAUGUAACGGAUCAAUAACCGUAUUAUUGAAAACACGGCUGUUUCGCUCCUUCCAUAUUGCCCAAACACAAGCAAGCCAAGUAACCUUAAAAAACACAUGAGUAGAUCUAGGCAAACCCGCCAAAUGAGUAAACUGAAUGUAAUGAUCCUUAAUAGAACCUGGAGGAACAAAAGAAAACCAAGCCAGUGACAAAGUAAAACCCAGACAAUUCCAAAAUAUUCACCUCCAAUGAAGAGAUGACCCAUCGUUUCGGAUAGACCACACCCUCCAACACAUAAAUUGUCGUUUGGUUGAAGAAUGAGACGACGCACCAAGUUUGCUCUUGUAGGAAUUCUGUCUUGAAACAACCGCCAAGCAAAAAACGACACUUUUGUCGGAACCAAUUUGUGCCACACGUCAAGAAAAGCAUCAUUAGCCACCUGUUCUUCAGAAUUUGUGAGAAAACGAUAAGUCCCACCAACACUAUAACCAUGAACAGGAUCUAGUAACCACCGCCAACGGUCCUGAAUAUGAACCUGCAAAACAACGUUAUCCAGUAAAGUGAUACACUCCCUCAUACUCUCCUCCUCCCAAGCUAACAACCGCCGUCUCCAAACCCACCCAUUUCCGCCCUCAACCCACCCCCAACGCUCCAUGUCUGCCACCGAACAUUCCUUAUGCACCGCUAAAUCAUAAAGACGACUAAAUUGAAUCUUUAAAGGUACUCCGCCUAGCCAUUUAUCAAUCCAAAAGAAAGUACUACUACCAUUUCCAACCUCCCUCAUAACAUUAACAUCAAACCAGUUACCUACUCCCGAGCCUACUCCUUCCCUCACCUUGCACAACAUACUCCACCAACCGGACACAUCUCUCCCUCCUUCCUGAAUUCUACCACCAACCUCCCCAUACUGUGCCUUUAAGACACGAUACCACAAGCCUUCUUUGUCAAUCAACAACCUCCAACACCAUUUCCCUAACAAAGAUAAAUUAAAUUCACCUAACCUCCGCACCCCCAAACCACCGCGAUUCACAGGUAAACAAAUAGAAUCCCAUUUAAUCCAAGCAAUUUUUUUAGAGACCUCACAACCCCCGCAAAAAAAAAUUUAAAAAUAGAUUCAAUAGAAGAAAUUAUACCUGCAAGUGCCUUGAAAUAGGAAAGAAAGUAAACCGGAAGAGAGGACAGGGCAGAUUUCAGAAGAACUAAGCGACCACCAAGCGAUAGAAAUUUAUUAUUCCACGACGACAAUCUAGCAACAAUUCGGUCCACCACCGGUUGCCAGAAACCGAGUCUUCUACUAUCUCCGCCUAUAGGUAAUCCUAAGUACAAAAACGGAAUUGUACCAGUUUUACAGUUCAACACCGAAGCCGCUUCCGUCAACCAAUUAUGAGAAAUGUUAACACUUGUCAACACGCUUUUAUUAAAAUUUACCUUCAACCCGAACACCUCUUCAAGUAAUAAUAAUACCGCCCGAAUGGUACGAACAUUCAACCAACAUUUUUCUCCAAUAAUGAUAGUGUCAUCAGCAAACUGUAGGUGAAAAAUUUUAAUUUCACUUUGAGGUCCGACACCAUAAGCAUUAAAUAAAUUUGACGACACUGAAGCCUUCAUCAAAACAUCAAAACCUUCGGCUGCUAGUAGAAAUAAAAAAGGCGAUAAAGGGUCCCCCUGUCUAAGCCCCCUCUGAAUAGGAAACUCAUCUCUCGGGCACCCAUUGACAAGGGCCGAAGCAGUAGCUGUUCCAACACAUUCCAUUAUCCACUUCCGCCAAAGAGUCGGAAAAUUCAUAUUAAGCAUCACAAAAUUCAGAUAAUUAAGAUCAACCGAGUCAUAAGCCUUUUCGAAAUCAACUUUGAACAAUAAUAAAUUUUUCUUCAAACGCUUUGCUUCAUCGACUACCUCAUUUGCAAUAAGAAUGCCAUCAAGAAUUUGUUUGCCUCUCACAAAAGCGGAUUGAUUAUCAGACACCACAUAACUCAAAAUAGACCGUAGUCGAUUUGCAAGAACCUUUGCCAACACUUUAUACAUACAACCAACAAGAGAAAUAGGUCGAAAAUCACCAAGCUUCUGUGGACUAGCCACCUUCGGAAUUAGAGCAAUAAAAGUGGAGUUAACACCCUUCGUCAACUUCCCAUUACGAUGAAAAUCGAGAAGAAAUUUCAUAAAAUCAUCUUUCAACUCAUUCCAAAAAUCUUUAAUAAAACCAAGAUUAAUACCAUCCGGCCCGGGACUUUUGAAGCUCUCACAAUCCCACACCGCCUGUUUAACUUCAUCAAGAGAAAAAGGACGAAUUAAACUACCUGAUUGAGCAUAAGACAACUUCCGAAAAUUUAAACCUUGAAUUCCAGGUCGAGUACCCUCUAAAGCGCGGAAAUGAGUGGAAAAAUGAUUAAGGGCAGCCGCACGAAUGUUCUGAACCCCUUCGACAAGAACUCCAUCAACAUGAAUCAAGUGAAGAUAAUUUCGACGCUGUCUAUUGGACAUCAUAUUAUGAAAGAAUUUAGAAUUUGCAUUACCUUCUCUAACCCAAUUCAUCCUCGCCUUCUGCCAAUUCAUACUAGUAUGCACACGAGACAAAGAAUGCAAUUUGACAGACAACUCACGAAUUUCCUGAGUUUCUUCUUCCAAUAAGUUAAUAGCAUCUUUGAUUUUAUUUGUCAAGAAAGUCGAGUAGAAAUGGAAGCUUCUUUGAAAAUGAUGUUGAAGAUGGUGGUAAUGUUUUUUGCUCUUGGUAAUUUUCAAAUUUGUAUAAUAAUUGUACUAGUAUUCAUUGACGAGUAUUAAUUUAAAAAUAUUCCAAGAACCAGGUGUUAUAUUGAAAAACCUCAAUGUUUAACUAAACGCUGUGAAACAAAAUUAUUAUUGGAAGGGUUAAUUAAGUUUUUGGUCCCUAUAAAUAUCUGCAGUUUUGUUUUUAGUCCAUUUAAAAAUAAAUCACACUUUUUAGUCCCUACAAAAUUUUCCAUUAAUGUUUUUAGUCCCUGUUAAAUUAAAAUUUGUUUAAUUAUGCUUAAAAUUUUAAAUUUUUUAAUGAUUUUUUACAUACUUGUUUAAAAUAUUAUAAAAAGUUCCGCAAAAAUAAAUUAGCUCAAAAUUUUAUUUUUAGGUCUAAAUUUUCGUUAGUUUUAUCUUGAAUUUUUGGCGUUUUAAAAAAAUUAUAUUUAAUUCAUUACAUGUUAAAAAAUUCUAUUUUUUUUAUAAAAGAGAUUAUUAUAAUGUUCUUAACAUGUAUGGAAAAAAUAUUUCAAAAAUUUAGAAAUUUAAGCAUAAUUAAACAAAUUUUAAUUUAACAGGGACUAAAAACACUAACAGAAAAUUUUGUAGGGACUACAAAGUGUGAUUUAUUUUUAUAAGGACUAAAAACAAAACUGCAGAUAUUUAUGGGGACCAAAAACUUAAUUAACCCUUAUAGGAAUAAUAAAUACUCAUAGAAUAAUAAUGAAAGACAAGAUGUUUUAAGAGAUUAUUAGUUUUUAGUUAGAUUAUGAUGCCUUAUCAAAUGAAACAUUUCAAUUGGCAAGACAACAAAAUCUAGCUCAUAACAACCUUUGAAUGUCUGAUGAGAAAUGAACCUUACAAUGCCAUCCAAACCUAGCUUAGUGAACACUCAUCACAAACAAAGCCUCAAAGACUCAAAGUUGUAUUGUAUUGGUCAAAAACAAUAACAACCCUUUAGUCAUUAAUAUAGAUGAAAAUGGAGAAAUCAUGUUUGGUGCUAUUCAUAUAAAGCCACUCCCAAAACACAAUAUGUUCUAUUUACCCUUCUUCAUAAGAUGAAAAGAGGUAGUUUACCUUUUAUAAAAGUUAUAUAAACCUCCUCACUAAGUCUUACCUCAAAUAUGUGUUUGGGUGAACCCACUUGGGUUGAUCCGUUGGUGUUUAGUUGAAACUUCGAAGGUACUUUACGUUUUUUAAAAUUUUGCAAAUCGGUCCUCAUAUUUUGAAAAUUUUCAAAUUAGUACCUAUAAAUUUUGAUUUUUUUUUAAUCAGUCUUAUAAAUUAAACAGAGCUGGAUGAAGUAGCUAAAAAAGGAAGAUAAAGAAUUCAAACAACCCAAUCUUUGAGAGGACAAAACCAAUGAAAAACAUGGCGAUGGAAUGAAAGAAAGUAAUUCCAAUGCUAUCCAUAGUAUCAUCUUUUUUCUUAUCACUAGCUUUUUCUUUUUUAGAAUAACUUACAUUAUUAUUUGAAUAUGAUAUCUAAUAGGGUGUGUGAAAAAAUCCUAAAACUUGUGAAAGAAAGUACAUCAAAGUUUAGAUAGAUUGUGUUCUACUUUAUAACCGAAGAGCACUAUAGUUGAACAGGAAAUAGUUUAGACCCAUUACUACAGUUUUCCUUAGCAAAAUAAUAUAACUAGUUGCAUUGGAUACUACCAUUCCAGUACAUAACACAAAAAAUCCCCAUGGCCAUAAUCCGUGAGUAAUAUCUAUAACAACAUAAUAGUAUUCGGCCUCUGCACUAGAUCGAGAUAGAGUGUGUUGUCGUUUUACAAUCAUGACUAAUCAAAUUAGAAUGAUUGAUAUCCUCAAUAUCGAGAUAUGCACAUAAUAGUCUAAUACUACCUUCUCAUGUAUGCUGUUUCUCAACCACUUGAGAUAGCCACUGCUCUCUUCUUCUUGCUGUAUUUAGCUUGUUACUCAAUUGUAUUUUGCAUUUCUGAUUUCGAAGCACAAGCCCUAAAUGUUUUGCAUGCUUGAUUCCUAAUUUUCAUUUUCCAACUGUCAUGUCUGAUUGUGAUUUCAUUUAUCAAGUUAAACCAAAGGUUAAACACACUAUAAUUAGGGCUUACUUCUAGAGUGAUUAUCUACUACACACUAUAAUUGAUAACCUACUAUCAAUUUAUUUCCAGGGUGAUUAUAAACAGACAAUAAUUAGGGCUUACUUCUAGAGUGAUAAUCUACUGCACUGCACAACGAAUUGAAUAUAACGCAAGUUAUUCUUACUUAUUACCAUUUUGCAGAUGAUGGUGGUAAAAUGGAUAGCUUGACUAAUGCAGGUGUACAAUUAACCGUGACGACUGUUUUGGCCUGUGGUUUUGUUUGUAUUUUUAGAGUUUGGUUUUUAUACAAGUUUAAUUCAGAACUGGUACACAUGAAGGAGAGAAACUGUUAAUAUAAAAACAACAAUCAAAACUGAUGAAGCAUUGAAUCAGACACAAAUACCUAACACGACAUAAUCAUAUCGAUACCUAUAUUAUAAAAAUAUAGGACAACAACAUUCGUGUGUGUGUGUCUAUAUAUAUAUAUAUAUAUAUUCAUUUUAUGAGUGGAAACUAUUAUUUAUAAAAAGAGACGGAGGAAGUAAUAAUCAAGCAUGAAUAACCAAAGCUAUUAACAAGAGAAUUCAGACUAAAUUCCCUCAACAUACCAGCAGCAAACAUGAACCUAAUUCAUAACUAUGGCUUUAUUAAAAGGUUUCAAAACACUAUUAAGAAAACUGAAAUUAAUCCAUCUAAUAAAAAAAAACAAAAAAAAAAAAACUGAAAUCAAUCCAAUCUAAAUUAAUGUAUGACACCAUUCUCCUCAUUCAACUCUAGUCUAGAGCCAAUUCUUGUUUAUCUUUCCCUGCCACCAGUUGAGCUUUCUCACCCUUUUUCUUUGCUUCCUCCUCUUCCUUUUCCUUUGCAAUUUCAAGAUAUUGAAUCAAAUUCUUCAAGCAAGCCUCAACAUCUUCGGUGGUCGACUUUGGCAUCAAAUUCUCGGCAACAUCAGCUGGUGACAUAUUAGUCUCUCCCAACAACUUUUCAAUAAUUGGAAACAAAUCACCAUGAGACUCAACAUCCAAGUAGUUCUUAGCAAGAACCUUGAACGCUUGAUAGCUACAAUAGGACAUUUCUAUGUGUUUAUCCAUCCUUCCCCUCCUAAUUAGAGCAGGAUCAAGUUUGUCCACAAAAUUAGUUGUGAAAAUUAUGAUCCGUUCUCCUCCACAUGAUGACCAAAUUCCAUCAAUAGAAUUCAACAAACCCGAAAGAGUUACCUUGCUUUUCCUUUUCUCUUCUUCUUCAUCAUCAUCGUCGUCAUCAUCAUCUUCUUCUUCUUCUUCUUCACUUUUCUUAUCAGUUUUAUCUUUUUUCUCAUUCUUAUCAUUACGAUCUUUCUCCUUUUUCUUCUUCCUCUGACCGGUAAGCUCGAGAGAACAAUCAAUAUCUUCAAUAACGAUAACUGAUUUGCUCGACGUCUCAAUCAAAAGUCUUUUUAACUCAUUGUUAUCCUUGACAGUUGUUAAUUCAAGAUCAUACACGUCGUAGUUCAUGAAAUUUGCAAUAGCAGAUAUCAUGGUAGAUUUCCCAGUUCCUGGUGGACCAUAGAGUAGAUAACCCCGUUUCCAAGCCUUUCCAACUUUAGCAUAAUACUCUUUCCCUUUCUUGAAUUUAACAAGAUCGUUUAUGAUCUCUUCUUUCUUCUCCGGUUCCAUAGCAAGUGUUUCAAACCUUGCAGGGUGUGCAAAAUUUGUGUGACUCCACCCUGACAUCCACCAACAACCGCUAUUGUUGGUGUAAAGCUUUAGUCGCCUAUUCUUAAAUAUAAUAGCCUUUCCUUGUUCCAACACAUGUUGUAUGUAAGAGGAAGUAAUGAGAUCGCGAUGCCUUUUGUGGAAAGUUAGGGUUAAGUAUCUUACCACAUCGAAAUUAGGUCUUCCUGAAGAUGCUUUUCUUGUUGGAGCUUUGCUGUUUGAAGACCACCAAACUUUGACUCCAUUGAACUCAUCCUCAAUCUCUUCUUUGUCGUCCAUGCUAAGGACAAGCGGUGAUUGGCUAUCUUCCACAACUUCGGCUUUAAGUCUCUUGGCUCUUUGACUCGAGUUAGCACCAAGAUAUGUUUGGAUAAUUGUGUAAGUUUCGCUUUGUUUGAGACGCUCGCCCGAUGAUUCAUAAAAAGUUAUUUCGACGUAAGGGGACAUAAGGUCUGUAAAUUUGUUCAUGUGCUUUUCAACAAACUUAUGAAGAUCAGAUGGGCAGAAUUGCUCAUACAUGGCAUAAACAAAAACAUUAGGCUAGCCGCAAUUGAGCCUAAUUGUGACAAUAUUGACUCAGUCCAUAAUGAAAUCUGAGAUGAGAUCACUAGAGAAAACUAAUGAAGAAACAAGUUGAUAAAAUUCUUGCUAGUUAAGAUCCCCUUAUGGAAAAAACUAUUGCAAGAUUUGUUAACUCAUUGUGAUAGUAACACGACUAUUGUGAAAUCGAGAAUCGUUACUACAAUGGUAAGAGACGAUAAUUAAGGCACGAACAAAGAACAAUUAUAGCGCUAGCUACUCUUCAAUGGAGCGGUUAAAAUAGAUUUUGUACGUACUGAUGAUAAAUCAGCAAUUCCUUUGUCGAAAUGAUUAGCUAGAAAGAAUGUCUAAAACACAUCCAAUAGGAUGAAACUAAUGCCUAAAGAUAACACGAGUGAUGGUAAUUACCCAGCCUAUAUGACUGGAGAUCACAAAAAGAUAGGUUCAAUGGGUAAUAACAAGUCAUGUUGUGAUAGAACAUGCUAUGACAAAAUCUAGAAAAGUCUUAUUCCUGUAGCCAAAUGAGGAUGAGAUAAGAGAAACUCUAAAUGAUAUUAUUACCAUAUGUGGAUAGUAGUACAAAGCUACAAGAGUACUAAUGAACUCACCUAUACGAAUGUGGAAUAGAGGCCGGUUACUAUGGAAUUUUGAGGCAGAAUACCUAGAACGUUCGUCAAAUUGGGAUAAAUGUGCAGGGCCAUAAACACACGAGAAAUAAUAUUUGUACAACUAUCUUGUGACAACUAUUUCUCUCAUACUCAAAUGGUGUUCUUUUUCUCUCUCUUCCUUUCUCUCUCUCUCUCUCUCUCUCUCUCUCUCUCUCUCUAUUAUUUUUGACCAAUAAGAAAAGAGAGAAACAAAAUUGUCACCAAAGUUGUCAUUAAAUGGAUGUCCAAAUAUCAUUGCGUGCUGGUUCUGUGUCUAAGAUUGAGUUUAAUGCCACAAGCAACUCUAGUUAAUUGAAAUUUUACUCGUUAUGCAGAGGUUCAAGUUGUAGGCGACACCUUUGUUUAUUAGCAAUCUUAUAAAAACUUCUUUGACGUUAUUUCUGAAACUAUUUUAAAAUCCAAGUGGGGAUUGUUGGAACAUGUGUAAAAAUUGAGUUAAAAAACUAGACACAAAUUCUCACAUUUGGUAGAAUUAGUGUUGUGUGAAUUAAAAAAAAGUGGAAGUCCUACAUCGGAUGGUGCACACAUAAUAGUAGUAUAUAGUAGGGGUGUACCUCUAAAGGGGUACAUAAUUAUGUGAACAAAGUAAGCACUAGCGAAAUUUUUUUGAUAUAUAUUUUAUUAUUUGAAAAUGUUAACUUAAAUAAUUAAUUUAAUCAUUAUUAGAAAGUGUUUUCUUAGUCCUCAAGUUUUGCUAAAAUAUUUUAGAACGCAAUCUGAAAUAUUUUCGUAUUCAAUAUAAUAUAUUUUGGUAUUUAUAUGAAAUAUAUUUUUGUACUCAAUAGUAUAUUUUUGUACUCAAUUUGCAAUAUUUUUAUACUAGAUCUAAUAUGUGAAUUACUUGUUCCCAAAGUUGCACACAUACUAUUUGUGAAUUUUCUCUAUAAAUAGAGAGCUCACAUAGUUCAUUCCAUACACCGAAAAAUAUCUGAAACAUCGAAUCUUUUUCUUCGCUCUUCCACUUUGACUUGUGUUAACGAGUCUUUCUUCUCUUCAUCUAGUCCUUUUUCGGGGUAUAAUAUCCCUUGGAAUUAAGAACGGUUUUAUGAGCAUAGUCCCUCAAUAAUCUUUGUCCUUUCGGAAUAAAGAAUAUUUUUAAGAUCAUAAUCCCUUUUCUGGAAUAAUGUCCUUUUCAGAAUUAAGAAUGAUCUUAAAAUAAAAGUAUAUAUAAUCCAUUUUAUAUUUCCUUCCCUUGGAUAAAGUUAUAUGUUAGAAUGGUGAUAACACCAUAUUUGAGUGGUUGAAAUUUCAUAUUGAUAUUUGGAGAUGUUAAAAGUUAGAAUGGUGGUAACAUCAUAUUUGAGUGGUCACAAUACCAUAGUAGAGUGGUCAUAGUACCAUAAUUGAUUGGUUUCAGUACUAAAAUAUGAGUGGCCUUAGUAUCAUAUUGGAGGUGUAAUUUUCGAACGUUUUUUUUACAACAUAGUAGUUAAUCGUGCUGUUGUAGUUUAACUUGUUUUUAUAUAGUCUCCUUUGCAUUACUUUGGACAGUACCAUGGAAUGUCUUAAAGAGAGCGACAUGAUAGUGACUCAACCUAGUAACAACUUCAGUAGAUUUAUUUUUGGCAAAAUUACAAUUUUAGUCCCUUAACUUAAUUUCAGGUAACAGUUUGGUCCUUUAUCUGUUUUUUCAUUUCAAUUUAGUCCUUUUUGUCCAUUUUUAAUACAUUUUCAAGCUUCAAAUCUAAUAUUAUUAUCCAAACAUAAACGAGGAUCAUAGAUUUGAAGACUGAAAGACCAUAAGAAAAUUAAAUCAUGAAUUUUAAGCUUAAAAAUUCAUAUGAAAAUGGACAAAAAGGACCAAAUUGAAAUGAAAAAAUAUAUAGGACCAAACGGUUACCUGAAAUUAAGUUUAAGUGACUAAAAGUGUAACUUUGCUUUUAUUUUUUAAAAAUAGAAUUUAAAAAUUCAAAUAGAACGGUGUUCCGUUAAAUGUUAUUAAAUGUUAUUCUACAUCAUUAUAUAUGAUGUGUAAUAGUAAAAAAUAAGCUCUAAAUUGGGUUGUGUAAAAAAAAUAAGCCUUAAAAUAUUGUUUCAAUUAAAAUAUGAUGAAUACAAGUGUAUUUGAUAGGAUGCCCAAUCAGGUGCUAUAUCUAGAUGAAAUAAAAAGUACAUCAAAGUUUAGAUAACACUGAGCUCUAAAAGCAAUUAAAUGCAUGCAUGCAAGUAGAAUAGAAGCCAUCACCACAUUCUUCCUUAGCUAAGAAGCCCUCAUGAAAAUGCAUACAUCUUAUUUUAUUACAUACUAUAGAUCUCAAUGCUCCACCCAAUUAACACAAAGAAACAACACAAGAAUAGAACCAUCCAUCAAAUGCCAAUUUUUUUUUUUUUUUUGGCACUUUAAAAAAAACCCCAUAUGUCUUGUUUUGAUUUCACACGAAGAAGAGAUACUAUUAAUACAAAGACAACAUUCAAACAAUGAAGCAUUGAAUCCGACACAAACACCAAACACGACAUAAUCAUGUCGCUACCUAUAAUAUAAAAAAUAUAAGACAACGAGGCAUUCAUAUAUAUAUAAUUAAUUUUGUGUGUGGAACUUGGUAAGAGACGGAGGAGGUAUUAAUCAAGCAUGAACAACCAAAGCUAUUAACAACACAAUUCAGACAAAAUUCCCUCAACAUGCCCAAAGGCCAAACCUAAACAUUAUCUUUAAAUGUGUCAAUUCAAAAGCAGCACACAUGAACAUAGUUCAUAACUACAGUUUUAUUAAUUAAAAUGUUUCAAAACAUUACUAAGAAAACUGAAAUUAAUCCAACUAAAAAAAAACUGAAAUCAAUCCAAUCUAAAUUAAUGUAUGACAGCAUUCUCCCCAAUCAAAUUUUUAUUAAAAGGGUCUUAUUAACUAAUGUUCACGGGGAAUUCUUUAAGGAUUUCAAAUUUAGCAAUUAUUUUUUCAAAAAUAACUAUUACAAUUUACAAUGCAUUAAAUACACAAUUUUUCAUCAAAAAACUUACCAUUUAAAAUGUUUAAAGAGUGUCUCGGGGGCACUAGUUAACAUUUAAAAUGUUUGGAAAAUGUUAAGUAGUGCCCCCGGGGCACUGAUUAAGGAAUUAUAAAAGAAAAUGUUUUUUUUUUUUUUUUUUUUCCGAAAAUUAUGUAUUUUACUUUUUGAAACUUGAAAAAAUGUUGAUUUUAAUGUUGACUUUGCUUUUUCUUUCUAACUUUGGCUACUUAACUAAUACCCGGAGGCACCGGUUAACAUGACCCAAAAAAAUUCCUCAUAUUUUUCACUUGCCUCCUCCACCUAUUCAUCCUACAGUCUUGAGCCAAUUCUUGUUUAUCUUUCCCUGCCACCAGUUGAGCUUUCUCACCCUUUUUCUUUGCUUCCUCCUCUUCCUUUUCCUUUGCAAUUUCAAGAUAUUGAAUCAAAUUCUUCAAGCAAGCCUCAACAUCUUCGGUGGUCGACUUUGGCAUCAAAUUCUCGGCAACAUCAGCUGGUGACAUAUUAGUCUCUCCCAACAACUUUUCAAUAAUUGGAAACAAAUCACCAUGAGACUCAACAUCCAAGUAGUUCUUAGCAAGAACCUUGAAUGCUUGAUAUCUACAAUAGGACAUUUCUAUGUGUUUAUCCAUCCUUCCCCUCCUAAUUAGAGCAGGAUCAAGUUUGUCCACAAAAUUAGUUGUGAAAAUUAUGAUCCGUUCUCCUCCACAUGAUGACCAAAUUCCAUCAAUAGAAUUCAACAAACCCGAAAGAGUUACAUUGCUUUUCCUUUUCUCUUCUUCUUCUUCAUCAUCGUCGUCGUCAUCUUCAUCUUCUUCUUCACUUUUCUUAUCAGUUUUCUCUUUAUUCUCAUUUUUAUCAUUACGAUCUUUCUCCUUUUUCUUCUUCCUUUGACCGGUAAGCUCAAGAGAACAAUCAAUAUCUUCAAUAACGAUAACUGAUUUGCUCGACGUCUCAAUCAAAAGUGUUUUCAACUCAUUGUUAUCCUUGACAGUUGUUAAUUCAAGAUCAUAUACAUCGUAGUUCAUGAAAUUUGCAAUAGCAGAUAUCAUGGUAGAUUUCCCAGUUCCUGGUGGACCAUAGAGUAGAUAACCGCGUUUCCAAGCCUUUCCAACUUUAGCAUAAUACUCUUUCCCUUUCUUGAAUUUAACAAGAUCGUUUAUGAUCUCUUCUUUCUUCUCCGGUUCCAUAGCAAGUGUUUCAAACCUUGCAGGGUGCGCAAAAUUUGUGUGACUCCACCCCGACAUCCACCAACAACCGCUAUUGUUGGUGUAAAGCUUUAGUCGCCUAUUCUUAAAUAUAACAGCCUUUCCUUGGUCCAACACAUGUUGUAUGUAAGAGGAAGUAAUGAGAUCGCGAUGCCUUUUGUGGAAAGUUAGGGUUAAGUAUCUUACCACAUCGAAAUUAGGUCUUCCUGAAGAUGCUUUUCUUGUUGGAGCUUUGCUGUUUGAAGACCACCAAACUUUGACUCCAUUGAACUCAUCCUCAAUCUCUUCUUUGUCGUCCAUGCUAAGGACAAGCGGUGAUUGGCUAUCUUCCACAACUUCGGCUUUAAGUCUCUUGGCUCUUUGACUCGAGUUAGCACCAAGAUAUGUUUGGAUAAUUGUGUAAGUUUCGCUUUGUUUGAGACGCUCGUCCGAUGAUUCAUAAAAAGUUAUUUGGACGUUAAGGGGACAUAAGGUCUGUAAAUUUGUUCAUGUGCUUUUCAACAAACUUAUGAAGAUCAGAUGGGCAGAAUUGCUCAUACAUGGCAUAAAGAAACAUUAGGCUAGCGGCAAUUGAGCCUAAUUGUGACAAUAUUUCCCCAAUUCCCAUUGCCAUCUCUAAUACUUAGAAACUAUUGUGCCUAUUCUUAUGUUUUUUUUUGUGGGUGUUGGUUUAACCUAUAUGGUAUGAUUUUAUAAGGAGUAGUGAUUUAGGUUUUGUAUCUUGGCGACCAAGUUAUCUAGGAGACAUACGAUUUGUUGAUUUUGUGGGCGUGUUGAAAUUGGAAACUAGCAGCCAGAUUAAAAAGAAAAUAUAAAAACGAAAAAAAUAUAUUUUAUUUGUAUACUCAAUUAGGCAAAUAUAUCUAUUUAACUCCACCAAAAAUAAAAUAAAAAAUUUAAUUAAUAUAAUUUAAUGGUGUACAAUUAUUUUAUACUGUGAGAGAGUAUAUAUUAAUUAAACAAUAAAAUAAAAACUGUUUAAUUAAUUUGUAUCUCCAAUUUGUACAAUUAUUUUAGAUUGAGAGAGCAUAUUAAUUGUUUUUUGAGUAAAGGACAUCAAUUUAUUAAUUCAGAAGAGUAGUGAAAUUAUAAAUAAAAAUUGUCUCUGAAGCAUUACAUGCUAUUGAAAGAGUCAUGAGGUGCCUUAAAAAGACUAUGACUAUAUGCUUAUAUUAUGAAAUGUAUCCUAUUGUACUUGAAUGGUACAAUUAUACAAGAUGGAACAUUGAUAAUGUCUCUAUAGUUAGUAUUUUUAGAGUCACUUUUAAGUAGUUUUAAGUUAAAUUGAAUCAAUUCAAAGUGUGUUUUGGAGUCAAACUGAGAUAAAAAGGAUUUUAAAAAUAUUUAGUUGUGUUAAUUAUUUUUGUUAUUAAUUUUCACUAACUGGAUGAAUUCUUGGAGUUUUUGUUCUCUUAAUUUUUAGGUAAUAAAUUGAGCUGUUGGAGUGAAAAAAAAAAACCAACGAUCAUGUUCAACGCAUAAGCCAAAGAAGGGCUGAACUUGUUUCCAUAAGAAAAGUGCAGAACAAAUUUCAAUCAUGCUUAAUUCUAAUCUUAAAUUCACUAAGGAAUUAGGGAUUAUUUUAGGAUUAAUGAUUUUGUCACUAAGGAAUUAGGGCAAGAAUAAAUUAGAGAAUUCGGUAGUGAUACGAUAAGUCUAUUCAAUGGUCAUAUUCAAGUUGUUAACUCAAGAUAGUCAUCUGGUGAAACUCAUCCCUGACAAUCUUAUUAUUAUAGUUCAAUCCAAUUUUACUUUACUUAAUUUUCAUUAUUACAAUCACACAAAUUCAGUACCUUUUUGUUCAAUUAAGUCACAAAUAUUAUUCGACAGUAUAACGCGAUCCUCGAGUUCGACACUUGGUCUUACCGUUUUAAUUUUACUACUUGCACGAUUUCGUACACUUGCGAAAAUCGCUAUCAAAUUUUUGGCGCCGCUGCCGGGGAUUGCCAUAUCAUUGUUGAAUUUUAUUUUUGCUUAAUUUUAUUUUUUGCUCUGCAAUAAAAUUUUUGUUUUUAUUUUAUUUUUAUUUGUUUAGUUUUCUAAUGUCGAGUUCUAGUGAUUUUUUUCUUCUUUGUUGAGAUAAUUAACCACCACAUAGUAUGGAAGAAUUCGACGAUUAUCUUCUUUUACAACUUUUGGAUGAAACUGAGACUUGUCUUCUUUCUGCACAAUGUCGUAUACUUGAGGGGCAGAUCAUGAGAGAUGCAUUUGAAAAAGAUCUCCUUCAGGUUCUACCUCAUAGAUUUGAUUUUUGUAGCGAAGGACAUAUAAGUGACACUUUUGAUUAUUAUGUCCUACCAUCAAAAGGUGAAGAAUUAUUGGUCUUGGAAGCAGAAGAAGAUGAGUUUUUCAUGAAAAAGAUUAAUUUUAAGCAAAUGCUACCUACUCAAAUACUUCACAAAGAUUCAUAUGACAAGAUCUUUCGUUCCAAGGACGUUUUGAUUGAAUUCAUGAAUAAUAAUGAAGGUUCAAUCGAAAUAUUUGAGAGUCAAUGUGAAAGGUUAUUUGAGCGAGUGGUUGAGUUUGAGAAGUUUAAGAUUGGAGAUAAGUUCAGUGUUGUGGGAAAGAAAGAAGAUGAGGGAGAAUCAAUAAACAUUAAGGAUGGUAUAGUUGGUAAGGAUACUCAAAAGUCCCAACUUUGGGGGGAUUUAGAUGCCCAACCAAAUAUUCAUCAACAAAACAUUUCUCCAAUUUAUUUUAGCGACAAGGCAGGGGAAAAGGAAGAGAUUGAUGAUGUAACGCCCACUUUCGUUUAAUCGUUUAUUUAAUCGAGUUUAGGUGAUUAUAUUAUAAUUAUAUAAUAUAUGCAUGAUUUUGGUAUGUUUUGAUGAUUUAUGAUGUUUUGAUCGAUGACGUGAUGAGUUAUGAGUUUUGGAGGAUUUGAUAAGGAUAUGAGAAUUAUUUUAUUGUUAAAUAAAAUAAAGAUUUAAAAAUAAUAUAAAAUAUUUAGUUGAGUGCUGUUUUGAUAUUUUAGAUAGUUUUGGGGGAGAAAGUGAGAUAAGAUAAGUAAUUAAGAAGAGGUAUAUAAAGGUUAGACCUAGUUUUAGAAAAACAUUGUACGAACGACUGUUUUGGAGAAAAAAGAGAAAAGCUUAGAGAGGACCAAGAGACCAAGAGUGCUGCGAUUUUCUUCAAACAAGGUAAGGGUGAGACUAAUAAUUCAAUAACGUUGAUCGUUGUAAUUCUGAUGAUUAAUUGACAAAGUAAGGAUUGAUUUAGAAAAGUUUUGGAAUUAGGUCAAAACCUUAAAAAUUGAUGAUCAAACGGUAAAACUUGUUUAGAUUGAUGUAGAAACCGUCCUUUAACCUUAGAACAUGUUUAAGAUGGAUUAUGAAAUCAAAAUUAGGCUUUGAACCAUGUUGUGUGUUGGAUUUUUGAGAAAAACCCUAGUCUGCCCGUGCUUCUGUUCAUCGCUCGCCACGGCGAGUGAUGAGCCUCGCCUCGCGAGUGAUGAACUUCAUCGCUCGCCACGCGAGCCCUUCCCUUCGCCUCGCGAGUUGUUUAGUUCAACUCGCCAUGGCGAGCAAUCCCCUUCGCCUCGCGAGUUGUGUGAUGCAGCUCGCCACUGCGAGCCACCUUACUCGCCAUAGCGAGCCAAGGCAGAGUGUAUGUUAGAUUUCGUGUUUCGACCUUUUUAGUUGGACCUUGAGUGCCUUGAGUGCCUGAACAUACCUAGUAUUGAUUAGGAAUGAAUGUAGGAUCAGAGGGAACCCAGAACAACCUUAGUUUGGGAGUUGAGUGGUGCUCGCCAUGGCGAGUAAGUACUCUCGCCUCGCGAGUACAACCAGAAUGAACUUGUUUAUGUGUUUGUGCGAUCUGUGUCGCACUUGUUGAUCAAGAGUGAACCCCUAACUAGUAAUGAGACCUAGUGAUGUCGUUAAAUGCAGUCUGUAGAGUUGUUUAAGUCAUGAUAAUAUUAAUUGAACAUGAGCUAAUGUAAUGUACAUUUAUGCAAGAUAUGAAGAUUUGAUAAUGAUACAAUUUAUGUGCUAUUGAUAUAAUGAUAUCAUCUUGUUAUGUGACCUGUUUAUGCUGCUUCCGUUAUUUAACUAAGUGCAUAAGUAUAUGAUGAAGUUUAGCUCCAAAUUAUUGGAUGCAUAUUGAUAAGUUGAUUACGAUGUUUUGUUCAUAUGUGUCCAUGCAUAGCAUCUCAUUGAGCUUAGUCCUCACCACGAAUAUUAGGAGCUUUGUCCUCCGCACGUUUUAUAGGAGCUUUGUCCUCCGCACGAUUAAAGUAUAUUAAUACUUAUGAUGACGAUUGGUACCACAUGCAUAUAAGGAGUCUAAGAGCAUUGUCACAUUGUCAUGAUUAAGAUGCCUUGUUGAUAAUGAAUGAAUACGUGAUUAAGUGAUAAGUGUUUAUUGAUUAUGUUAUGUCGUUGAUAAUAAUUGGAUGUAUGAUUAUGUGAUAACUGUUUAGCAUUUAUGCAAAGUUAAUAAUGGAAUGAUUAUGAUGUUAAUUUAUGAUUCACGAUUACACUGAUUAAUGUUAUUUUAUUAUGAAAUCUCACCCCUUCUGCUUGAAAAUGUUGCCCUUCGUAUGGGUAACUUGCAGGUGAUCGUGCUUAGUGUGCAGUUGCCGUCGUGAGUGACCUUGCCUUCACUGUGUCGUCUAGGUCGCUCUGAUACGUAACGGGAUGGGGUUAAUGCUAUAACAUGCUUCAUUCUCUUACGUGAUUAAUAUGAUAUUUUUAUAAUGUUUAAGAUAUUGGUUAAAUUAUUAUUUAACUGUUGGAUUUACGUUAUAUGUGAUAUCCCGUUGUUUGAUGUUUACUCUGAUAAAUAUUAUGUUUUUAAAGAAGUUUUGCUAUUGGGAAAACGGGGUGUUACAAUUGGUAUCAGAGCAGGUCGGUCCGUCCGGUCAAUUAGAGAGUCGUGUUGAGUCUUAGUAAUAUUUAUAUUACUAUCUUAUGUUGUUAUUGCUACUUUUGUAGAAUAUCAGGAAUGGCCGGAAGAAACGAUGCUGCGUUAGCUGCUGCUCUACAAGUUGUUGCCCAAGCUGUGGGACAACAACCUAAUGCAAAUGCUGGUGCGAACGCUGAAGCUAGGAUGUUGGAGACGUUCAUGAAGAAGAACCCUCCGACUUUCAAAGGACGUUAUGACCCUGAUGGAGCCCAGACGUGGCUUAAGGAGAUUGAGAGGAUUUUCCGGGUUAUGCAGUGCAUUGAGGAUCAGAAAGUGCGGUUUGGUACUCAUCAGCUAGCCGAGGAAGCUGAUGACUGGUGGGUUGCUCUUCUGCCUACCCUUGGGCAGGAGGGAGCUGUUGUGACUUGGGCUGUUUUCAGGAGAGAGUUCCUGAGAAGAUACUUUCCAGAAGAUGUUCGCGGGAAGAAGGAGAUCGAGUUCCUUGAGUUGAAGCAAGGAAACAUGUCUGUGACAGAGUAUGCUGCCAAGUUCGUGGAGCUGUCGAAGUUCUACCCGCACUAUACUGCUGAGAAUGCUGAGUUCUCGAGAUGCAUCAAGUUCGAGAAUGGUUUGAGGCCCGACAUCAAGAGGGCGAUUGGAUACCAACAGCUUAGAGUUUUUCAGGAUUUGGUCAAUAGCUGCAGGAUCUAUGAAGAGGAUACCAAGGCUCACUACAAGAUAGUGAAUGAGAGGAAGGGCAAGGGACAACAGAGUCGUCCUAAGCUGUACAGUGCCCCUGCUGAUAAAGGGAAACAGAAGAUGGUCGAUGUUAGGCGGCCUAAGAAGAAGGAUGCUACAGAGAUUGUGUGUUUCAAUUGUGGUGGGAAAGGCCACAAAAGCAACGUCUGCCCUGAGGAAAUCAAGAAGUGUGUCCGGUGUGGCAAGAAAGGUCAUGUUGUAGCUGACUGCAAUUGUACGGACAUUGUGUGCUUUAAUUGCAAUGGAGAGGGUCACAUUAGUUCACAGUGUACUCAGCCUAAGAGGGCACCGACUACUGGUAGAGUCUUUGCUUUGACUGGUACUCAGACAGAGAACGAGGAUCGUUUGAUCAGAGGUACUUGCUAUAUUAAUAAUACUCCUUUAGUUGCUAUUAUUGAUACUGGUGCUACGCAUUGUUUUAUUGCUUUCGAUUGUGUUUCUGCUUUGGGUCUUGAUUUGUCUGAUAUGAAUGGAGAGAUGGUUGUCGAAACUCCAGCUAAGGGUUCGGUGACUACUUCUCUCGUAUGUUUGAAAUGUCCUUUGUCUAUGUUUGGUCGUGAUUUCGAAAUGGAUUUAGUUUGUCUACCUUUGAGCGGUAUGGAUGUGAUUCUGGGUAUGAACUGGUUAGAGUACAACCACGUUCUUAUUAAUUGUUUUAGCAAGUCAGUGCAUUUCUCUUCCGUCGAAGAGGAAAGUGGUGCAGAGUUUUUUAUCUACUAAGCAGCUGAAGCAACUAGAACGCGACGGUAUCUUGAUGUUUUCGUUAAUGGCUACGUUAUCUUUUGAGAAUCAAGCAGUGAUUGAUAGGUUACCGGUGGUGUGUGAUUUUCCUGAAGUUUUUCCAGAUGAGAUUCCUGAUGUGCCUCCAGAGAGAGAAGUUGAGUUUUCUAUUGAUCUUGUUCCUGGAACGAAGCCGGUCUCGAUGGCACCUUAUCGUAUGUCUGCUUCCGAGUUAUCUGAGUUGAAGAAACAGUUGGAGGACUUGCUUGAGAAGAAGUUUGUUAGACCAAGUGUUUCACCUUGGGGAGCACCGGUUUUGUUAGUAAAGAAGAAAGAUGGUAGUAUGCGGUUAUGUAUUGAUUAUCGGCAGUUGAACAAGGUAACUAUCAAGAAUAGGUAUCCACUUCCGAGAAUUGAUGAUUUGAUGGAUCAGUUAGUGGGUGCACGUGUUUUUAGCAAGAUUGAUUUGAGGUCGGGUUAUCACCAGAUUAAAGUAAAGGAUGAAGAUAUGCAGAAGACAGCUUUCAGAACGCGUUAUGGUCACUAUGAAUAUAAAGUUAUGCCUUUUGGUGUUACCAAUGCACCUGGAGUGUUUAUGGAGUAUAUGAAUCGCAUCUUCCAUGCAUUUUUGGAUCGGUUUGUGGUUAUGUUUAUCGACGAUAUUUUGAUUUACUCCAAGACUGAAGAAGAACAUGCUGAGCAUCUGAAGAUUGUUUUGCAAGUGUUGAAGGAGAAGAAGCUUUAUGCUAAAUUGUCUAAGUGUGAAUUUUGGUUGAAAGAAGUGAGUUUCCUUGGCCAUGUUAUUUCCGGAGAUGGUAUUGCUGUGGAUCCGUCUAAAGUCGAAGUUGUAUCGCAAUGGGAUACUCCUAAGUCCGUUACUGAGAUUAGAAGUUUCUUGGGUUUAGCUGGUUACUAUAGAAGGUUUAUUGAAGGGUUUUCUAAGUUAGCUCUUCCGCUAACGCAGUUGACUUGUAAAGGUAAAACUUUUGUGUGGGACGUCCAUUGUGAGAACAGUUUCAGUGAAUUGAAGAAGCGUUUGACGACUGCUCCAGUUUUGAUUUUGCCGAAGUCGGAUGAACCUUUUGUGGUGUAUUGUGAUGCGUCCAAGUUGGGUUUAGGAGGUGUACUUAUGCAAGAAGGUAAAGUGGUAGCUUAUGCUUCAAGACAGUUGAGAAUUCAUGAGAAGAAUUAUCCUACGCAUGAUCUCGAGUUAGCGGCCGUAGUCUUUGUAUUGAAGAUAUGGAGACAUUACUUGUAUGGUUCGAGAUUUGAGGUGUUUAGUGAUCACAAGAGUUUGAAGUAUUUGUUCGAUCAGAAGGAAUUGAAUAUGAGACAGCGAAGAUGGCUUGAAUUGUUGAAAGAUUAUGACUUUGGUUUGAAUUAUCAUCCAGGUAAAGCUAAUGUUGUCGCAGAUGCCUUGAGUAGGAAGACAUUGCAUAUGUCCGCUAUGAUGGUCAGAGAGUUCGAAUUGCUUGAACAGUUUAGAGAUAUGAGUUUGGUUUGCGAAUGGUCACCUCAGAGUGUGAAACUGGGUAUGCUGAAGAUUGAUAGUGAGUUUCUGAAAAAUAUCAAGGAAGCACAGAAAGUUGAUGUAAAGUUUGAGGACUUGUUGGUUGCUAGAGAUCAGACUGAAGACAAUGAUUUUAAAAUCGAUGAUCAAGGUGUGUUGAGAUUCCGAGGAAGAAUUUGUAUCCCAGACAAUGGAGAGAUUAAGAAGAUGAUUCUUGAAGAGAGUCAUAGAAGUAGCUUGAGUAUUCAUCCGGGAGCUACGAAGAUGUAUCAUGAUUUAAAGAAGAUUUUUUGGUGGUCUGGUUUGAAACGAGAUGUGGCACAGUUUGUGUAUUCCUGUUUAGUUUGUCAGAAGUCGAAAGUUGAGCAUCAGAAACCUGCUGGGAUGAUGGUGCCUUUAGACGUGCCAGAAUGGAAAUGGGAUAGUAUAUCCAUGGAUUUUGUGACGAGUUUGCCGAAUACUCCUAGAGGGAACGACGCAAUUUGGGUUAUUGUGGAUAGAUUGACGAAGUCGGCUCAUUUUCUACCGAUUAAUAUUAGUUUCCCUGUUGCCUAGUUGGCAGAGAUUUAUAUCAAGGAGAUUGUGAACUUGCAUGGUGUUCCUUCGAGCAUUGUGUCAGAUAGAGAUCCAAGAUUUACUUCUAGAUUUUGGAAAAGUUUGCAAGAGGCUUUGGGUUCGAAGUUGAGGUUGAGUUCGGCGUAUCAUCCGCAGACAGAUGGUCAGUCGGAGAGGACAAUUCAGUCGCUAGAGGAUUUGUUGAGAAUUUGUGUUCUUGAGCAAGGAGGAACUUGGGAUAGUCAUCUUCCGUUGAUCGAGUUCACAUACAAUAAUAGUUAUCAUUCAAGUAUUGGAAUGGCACCUUUCGAGGCUUUAUAUGGUCGGAGAUGCAGAACCCCGUUGUGCUGGUUUGAGUCGGGUGAAAGAGUGGUCUUAGGACCAGAGAUUGUUCAGCAAACUACUGAGAAAGUUCGGAUGAUCCAAGAGAAAAUGAAGGCGUCGCAGAAUCGACAAAAGAGUUAUCAUGAUAAGCGUAGAAAAGAUUUUGAGUUUCAAGAAGGAGACCACGAGUUUUUGAGAGUCACUCCUAUGACUGGUGUAGGACGUGCUUUGAAGUCAAAUAAGUUGACCCCGAAGUUCAUUGGUCCGUAUCAGAUAUUGGAAAGAGUUGGAACAGUGGCUUACCGAGUGGGUUUACCGCCGCAUCUUUCGAAUUUGCACAACGUUUUCCAUGUGUCGCAACUUCGAAAGUAUGUUCCGGAUCCAUCUCAUGUAAUCCAAAGUGACGAUGUGCAAGUUAGAGACAACCUUACGGUAGAGACUUUACCGGUGAGGAUUGAUGAUCGUAAAGUGAAGACGUUGAGAGGCAAGGAGAUACCUCUCGUGAGAGUCGUUUGGACGGGAGCGACUGGUGAAAGCUUGACGUGGGAGCUUGAGAGUAAGAUGCUGGAGUCUUAUCCAGAGUUGUUUGCUUGAGGUAAAUUUUCGAGGACGAAAAUCUUUUAAGUGGGGGAGAGUUGUAACGCCCACUUUCGUUUAAUCGUUUAUUUAAUCGAGUUUAGGUGAUUAUAUUAUAAUUAUAUAAUAUAUGCAUGAUUUUGGUAUGUUUUGAUGAUUUAUGAUGUUUUGAUCGAUGACGUGAUGAGUUAUGAGUUUUGGAAGAUUUGAUAAGGAUAUGAGAAUUAUUUUAUUGUUAAAUAAAAUAAAGAUUUGAAAAUAAUAUAAAAUAUUUAGUUGAGGGCUGUUUUGAUAUUUUAGAUAGUUUUGGGGGAGAAAGUGAGAUAAGAUAAGUAAUUAAGAAGAGGUAUAUAAAGGUUAGACCUAGUUUUAGAAAAACAUUGUACGAACGACUGUUUUGGAGAAAAAAGAGAAAAGCUUAGAGAGGACCAAGAGACCAAGAGUGCUGCGAUUUUCUUCAAACAAGGUAAGGGUGAGACUAAUAAUUCAAUAACGUUGAUCGUUGUAAUUUUGAUGAUUAAUUGACAAAGUAAGGAUUGAUUUAGAAAAGUUUUGGAAUUAGGUCAAAACCUUAAAAAUUGAUGAUCAAACGGUAAAACUUGUUUAGAUUGAUGUAGAAACCGUCCUUUAACCUUAGAACAUGUUUAAGAUGGAUUAUGAAAUCAAAAUUAGGCUUUGAACCAUGUUGUGUGUUGGAUUUUUGAGAAAAACCCUAGUCUGCCCGUGCUUCUGUUCAUCGCUCGCCACGGCGAGUGAUGAGCCUCACCUCGCGAGUGAUGAACUUCAUCGCUCGCCACGCGAGCCCUUCCCUUCGCCUCGCGAGUUGUUUAGUUCAACUCGCCAUGGCGAGCAAUCCCCUUCGCCUCGCGAGUUGUGUGAUGCAGCUCGCCACUGCGAGCCACCUUACUCGCCAUAGCGAGCUAAGGCAGAGUGUAUGUUAGAUUUCGUGUUUCGACCUUUUUAGUUGGACCUUGAGUGCCUUGAGUGCCUGAACAUACCUAGUAUUGAUUAGGAAUGAAUGUAGGAUCAGAGGGAACCCAGAACAACCUUAGUUUGGGAGUUGAGUGGUGCUCGCCAUGGCGAGUAAGUACUCUCGCCUCGCGAGUACAACCAGAAUGAACUUGUUUAUGUGUUUGUGCGAUCUGUGUCGCACUUGUUGAUCAAGAGUGAACCCCUAACUAGUAAUGAGACCUAGUGAUGUCGUUAAAUGCAGUCUGUAGAGUUGUUUAAGUCAUGAUAAUAUUAAUUGAACAUGAGCUAAUGUAAUGUACAUUUAUGCAAGAUAUGAAGAUUUGAUAAUGAUACAAUUUAUGUGCUAUUGAUAUAAUGAUAUCAUCUUGUUAUGUGACCUGUUUAUGCUGCUUCCGUUAUUUAACUAAGUGCAUAAGUAUAUGAUGAAGUUUAGCUCCAAAUUAUUGGAUGCAUAUUGAUAAGUUGAUUACGAUGUUUUGUUCAUAUGUGUCCAUGCAUAGCAUCUCAUUGAGCUUAGUCCUCACCACGAAUAUUAGGAGCUUUGUCCUCCGCACGUUUUAUAGGAGCUUUGUCCUCCGCACGAUUAAAGUAUAUUAAUACUUAUGAUGACGAUUGGUACCACAUGCAUAUAAGGAGUCUAAGAGCAUUGUCACAUUGUCAUGAUUAAGAUGCCUUGUUGAUAAUGAAUGAAUACGUGAUUAAGUGAUAAGUGUUUAUUGAUUAUGUUAUGUCGUUGAUAAUAAUUGGAUGUAUGAUUAUGUGAUAACUGUUUAGCAUUUAUGCAAAGUUAAUAAUGGAAUGAUUAUGAUGUUAAUUUAUGAUUCACGAUUACACUGAUUAAUGUUAUUUUAUUAUGAAAUCUCACCCCUUCUGCUUGAAAAUGUUGCCCUUCGUAUGGGUAACUUGCAGGUGAUCGUGCUUAGUGUGCAGUUGCCGUCGUGAGUGGCCUUGCCUUCACUGUGUCGUCUAGGUCGCUCUGAUACGUAACGGGAUGGGGUUAAUGCUAUAACAUGCUUCAUUCUCUUACGUGACUAAUAUGAUAUUUUUAUAAUGUUUAAGAUAUUGGUUAAAUUAUUAUUUAACUGUUGGAUUUACGUUAUAUGUGAUAUCCCGUUGUUUGAUGUUGACUCUGAUAAAUGUUAUGUUUUUAAAGAAGUUUUGAUAUUGGGAAAACGGGGUGUUACAGAUGAAGUCCUAGAUGCCAUUUAUGCCUUGUUCAUUGUUGUCCACUUGAAAAGGAUAUGGAAACAACAUCAUCUAUUUUUCAAGUUCAUGGAGUUCUUACCCAACAAAAGGAAGAAGAAGGAUGAUGAGUUCUUUGUAUGAUAUAUGCCACCUUAACAGUGGUUGAUGCGUCAAGCUAAUGACAUUAAAAAAGCGCUUAGUGGGAGGCAACCCACGUCAGUAAGCAAUUUUCUAUAUGUUUUUUUCUCUUUAUGUUUUUUUUUAUUGUUCUCAAAUAAAAAUUAUUAUCACAUAACCACUUAUUGGUUGCCACUCGUAGCAUUGAUUGUUGAGUUUGCAUGAAUAUUUUAACCUUUCCAUCUCAAAAAAAAAAAAAAUUGUUUUUGUCUCAGAGAAUUAUUCUGACCGCCAAGGCAGAAGGCUAGCUUACCGACAAACUUCAAGAGCAUAAUGGCUACGGGGCUUGCUGCAGAAGAUAUUCAUCAGAAUCACCAUCUCUUUUUCUAUAGCAUAACCGGUGAGAUUUGAGCCAAACAUUUUUCACUUUUUUCUAUAAUUCUUUCAUAUGUGAGUAUCCAUGUUUAAAUGUUAUUUUUCUAGAGCUUGCAUUGGUUCUCUACAGACUAUUGGUCGUAUUUUCAUACACACGAGGCAUUUGUUUGGUACUCUGAGCCUUUUCAAGCCACCCUUAUUAUUAUGAUUAUCCUUUGCUAACCCUUUUGAGCCUUCAUGCAAAAUUUUAUUUAUUGUUUUGGCGACGAACCAUGUCACAAGUUUUGAACCCACUAUAUUAUAUCUGUUUAAUUUCUUUGGAGUUAGAUAGAGUCAUUGUUUCUUGGUAUUGGUUUGAAACUAAGUUUGGGGUUGCUGUUGGAACCAACAACAUUUUAAAUUUGGAGUGAGUGCUAGUAGAACCUUGGUAAAAAAAUAAAAAACUGAAAGAAAAUUGGUAGACUUAAUAAUAAAAAUUGGUCUGCACAAAAAAAAAAAAAGUAAAUAAAUAAGAGCCAAAGCAUCAAAAAAAUUGGUCUCUUCAAAAAUGAAAAAAAAAAGAAGCAUUUCUACUAGUACUCAUGUUGUUUUGACAAAGAGAUUGAAAGUGAGUAGUACUUUAAUGUUUAGGGAUCCGUAGUGUAUCUAACUCCAAUUCUUUUGAUUAACCUACUUUUCCAAAUAUAUCCCACUUUAACCUAAGCCACGCUAUAACCUUGAAAGACCUUUAAAGUGUGUGUGAUUAUAUGACUUUGAAUGAUUGUUUAGAAUUUCUUCAAGUUCAUAGCAAAAUGCAUUAACAUGUUGAUUUGAGCGGGCAAAUGCCAUGACCAGCCCCACUGGCUUGAGAAUUGGUGAGGAAGAGAAUAGGAAGGAGAGUGUGGUUGAAAGCAUGAACUAUCUUCUCUAAGUUUGCCCCGCUUGAGCAAAAUUGGUAAGUUAGUCAACGCCGGAAGUGGAACGAAUGAGGAUCUGAGCACCCUCUCGGAAAGGUAUGCCAUUUUCAAAUUUGUGCAAUUUCUAACUUUUGUCUAUUUUGUUACUUGAGGACAAGCAACAUAUUAAGUUUGGGGUUGUGAUAAUGUCUCUAUAGUUAGUAUUUUUAGAGUCAUUUUUAAGUAGUUUUAAGUUAAAUUGAAUCAAUUCAAAGUGUGUUUUGGAGUCAAACUGAGAUAAAAAGGAUUUUAAAAAUAUUUAGUUGUGUUAAUUAUUUUUGUUAUUAAUUUUCACUAACUAGAUGAAUUUUUGGAGUUUUUGUUCUCUUAAUUUUUAGGUAAUAAAUUGAGUUGUUGGAGUGAAAAAAAAAAAACCAAAGAUCAUGUUCAACGCAUAAGCCAAAGAAGGGCUGAACUUGUUUCCAUAAGAAAAGUGCAGAACAAAUUUCAAUCAGCUUGAUGUGCGCCCCGCAUGUUAAAAUACACACAUAAGAUUUCUCUUCCUCAUAUUAGUUCCAACGUGGCACCACAUGAUAGGCUAUAAUGCACUCAUUUUAUUCAUGUGGUCCCACCACAACAAGUGACCUUGACAUGAAGAAAGAGAGCACGUGAUUGGAGGAGGGGAAUUAGGUUUCACUUGUUUUGGAAUAUAAAAAGGAGGCAGCUGCAACAAAUACAAGGGACUUUUGGGAACCAGAGAGAAGAAGCAGCGCAUGACAAUGGGAAAGGAAGGCAACGACAAUUAAAGGGAUCCGGAUAGAGAACGACGAUGCAGGGUGACGUUGGUCUUGUCGGAAAAUUUGUCCGGUUUAUUCUCUUUUCUUUGUUGUUUAUUUUCUUUAUCAUGAGUAGCUAAUUUUCAUGUUGUUAGGGAUGAGAGUAUCUAGAUGACAACUUUUGUUAUAUGAUUUUCUUUUGAUUAUUGAAGAAGUUUAUUGAAUCAUUUUUCUUAUCUCUAUUCUUAAUGCUUUUAUUGCUUGGCCGCCUUUAAAUUGAUAUACGGUUUAUAUUGUGAAACAGAAGUUGAAUGAAUUUAUAAACGCUUUCAGAUAAGAAAUUAUUGCCUUUGUAAUCUAGGAAUAGAUGCAAACCCUUGAAACCAAUUACGAAUUCUUGUUCAAUCAUGCUUAAUUCUAAUCUUAAAUUCACUAAGGAAUUAGGGAUUAUUUUAGGAUUAAUGAUUUUUUCACUAAGGAAUUAGGGCAAGAAUAAAUUAGAGAAUUCGGUAAUGAUACGAUAAGUCUAUUCAAUGGUCAUAUUCAAGUUGUUAACUCAAGAUAGUCAUCUGGUGAAACUCAUCCCUGACAAUCUUAUUAUUAUAGUUCAAUCCAAUUUUACUUUACUUAAUUUUCAUUAUUGCAAUCACACAAAUUCAGUACCUUUUUGUUCAAUUAAGUCACAAAUAUUAUUCGACAGUAUAACGCGAUCCUCGAGUUCGACACUCGGUCUUACCGUUUUAAUUUUACUACUUGCACGAUUUCGUACACUGGCGAAAAUCGCUAUCAAACAUCCUUUCAGACAAAUCCAAAGCGAUCAAUGGCUACACAUUUAGUAUCACUGGAGGAGUUGUUUCUUAGAAAAGAAGAAAUAUACAAUAUUGACUCAGUACAUAAUGAAAUUUGAGAUGAGAUCACUAGAGAAAACUAAUGAAGAAACAAGUUGGUAAAAUUCUUGCUAGUUGAGAUCCCCUUAUGGAAAAAACUAUUGCAAGUUGUGUUAACUCAUUGUGAUAGUAACACGACUAUUGUGAAAUCGAGAAUCGUUACUAUAAUGGUAAGAGACGAUAAUUAAGGCACGAACAAAGAACAAUUAUAGCGAUAGCUACUCUUCAAUGGAGCGGUUAAAGUGGAUUUUGUACUGAUGAUAAAUUAGCAAUUCCUUUGUCGAAAUGAUUAACUAGAAAGAAUGUUUGAAACACAUCCAAUAGGAUGAAACUAAUGCCUAAAGAUCACGAGUGAUGGUAAUUACCCAGCCUAUAUGACUGGAGAUCACAAAAAUAUAGGUUCAAUGGGUAAUAACAAGUCAUGUUGUGAUAGAACAUGCUAUGAUAAAAUCUAGAAAAGUCUGAUUCCUGUAGCCAAAUGAGGAUGAGAUAAGAGAAACUCUAAAUGAUAUCAUUACCAUAUGUGGAUUGUAGUACAAAGCUACAAGAGUACUAUUGAACUCACCUAUACGAAUGUGGAACACCGGCCGGUUACUAUGGGAUUUUGAGGCAGAAUACCUAGAACGUUCGUCAAAUUGGGAUAAACGUGCAGGGCCAUAAACACACGAGAAAUAAUAUUUGUACAACUAUCUUGUGACAACUAUUUCUCUCAUACUCAAAUGGUGUUCUUUUUCUCUCUCUUCCUCUCUCUCUCUCUCUCUCUCUCUCUCUCUUUCUCUCUCUCUCUCUCUCUAUUAUUUUUGACCAAUAAGAAGAGAGAGAAACAAAGUUGUCACCAAAGUUGUCAUUAAAUGGAUGUCCAAAUAUCAUUGCUCUAAACGCACAAGCUUUUAGAAUACACCAGAAAAAGGUUGCGUGCAGGUUCUGUGUCUAAGAUCGAGUUUAAUGCCACAAGCAACUCUAGUUAAUUGAAAUUUUACUCGCUAUGCAGAGGUUCAAGUUGUAGACGACACCUUUGUUUAUUAGCAAUCUUAUAAAAACAUCUUUGACGUUAUUUCUGAAACUAUUUUAAAAUCCAAGUGGGGAUUGUUGGAACAUGUGUAAAAAUUGAGUUAAAAAACUAGACACAAAUUCUCACAUUUGGUAGAACUAGUGUUGUGUGAAUUAAAAAAAAGUGGAAGUCCUACAUCGGAUGGUGCACACAUAAUAGUAGUAUAUAGUAGGGGUGUACCUCUAAAGGGGUACAUAAUUAUGUGAACAAAGUAAGCACUAGCGAAAUUUUUUUGAUAUAUAUUUUAUUAUUUGAAAAUGUUAACUUAAAUAAUUAAUUUAAUCAUUAUUAGAAAGUGCUUUUUUAGUCCUCAAGUUUUGCUAAAAUAUUUUAGAACGCAAUCUGAAAUAUUUUCGUAUUCAAUAUAAUAUAUUUCGGUAUUUAUAUGAAAUAUAUUUUUGUACUCAAUAGUAUACUUUUGUACUCAAUUUGCGAUAUUUUUAUACUAGAUCUAAUAUGUGAAUUACUUGUUCCCAAAUUUGCACACAUACUAUUUGUGAAUUUUCUCUAUAAAUUCAGAGCUCACAUAGUUCAUUCCAUACACCGAAAAAUAUUCUGAAACAUUGAAUCAUUUUCUUCGCUCUUCCACUUUGACUUGUGUUAACGAGUCUUUCUUCUCUUCAUCUAGUCCUUUUUCGGGGUAUAAUAUCCCUUGGAAUUAAGAACGGUUUUAUGAGCAUAGUCCCUCAAUAAUUUUUGUCCUUGCGGAAUAAAGAAUAUUUUUAAGAUCAUAGUCCCUUUUCUGGAAUAAUGUCCUGUUCAGAAUUAAGAAUGAUCUUAAAAUAAAAGUAUAUAUAAUCUCUUUUAUAUUUCCUUCCCUUGGAUAAAGUUAUAUGUUAGAAUGGUGAUACCACCAUAUUUGAGUGGUUGAAAUUUCAUAUUGGUAUUUGGAUUUGUUAAAAGUUAGAAUGGUGGUAACAUCAUAUUUGAGUGGUCACAAUACCAUAGUAGAGUGGUCAUAGCACCAUAAUUGAUUGGUUUCAGUACUAAAAUAUGAGUGGCCUUAGUAUCAUAUUGGAGGUGUAAUUUUCGAACGUUGUUUUUACAGCGUAGUAGUUAAUCGUGUUCUUGUAGUUUAACUUGUUUUAUAUAGUCUCCUUUGCAUUACUUUGGACAGUACCAUGGAAUGUCUUAAAGAGAGCGAUAUGGUCGUGACUCAACCUAGUAACAACUUCAGUAAAUUUAUUUUUGGCAAAAUUACAAUUUUAGUCCCUUAACUUAAUUUCAGGUAACAGUUUGGUCCUUUAUCUUUUUUUCAUUUCAAUUUAGUCAUUUUUGUCCAUUUUCAUAUACAUUUUCAAGCUUCAAAUCUAAUAUUCUUAUCCAAACAUAAACGAGGAUCAUAGAUUUGAAGACUGAAAGACCAUAAGAAAAUAAAAUCAUUAAUUUUAAGCUUAAAAAUUCAUAUGAAAAUGGAUAAAAAGGACCAAAUUAAAAUGAAAAAAAGAUAAAGGACCAAACUAUUACCUGAAAUUAAAUUAAGUGAUUAAAAAUGUAACUUUACCUUUAUUUUUUUAAAAUAGAAUUUAAAAAUUCAAAUACAACGGUGUUCCGUUAAAUGUUAUUAAAUGUUAUUCUACAUCAUUAUAUAUGAUGUGUAAUAGUAAAAAAUAAGCUCCAAAUUGGGUUGUGUAAAAAAAAUAAGCCUUAAAAUUUUGUUUCGAUUAAACUAUGACGAGUACAAGUGUAUUUGAUAGGAUGCCCAAUUUAGAGUAGAAGCCAUCACCACAUUCUUCCUUAGCUAAGAAGCCCUCAUGAAAAUGCAUACAUCUUAUUUUAUUACAUACUAUAGAUCUCAAUGCUCCACCCAAUUAACACAAAGAAACAACACAAGAAUAGAACCAUCCAUCACAUGCCAAUUUUUUUUUUUUUGGCACUUUAAAAAAAACCCCAUAUGUCUUGUUUUGAUUUCACACGAAGAAGAGAUACUAUUAAUACAAAGACAACAUUCAAACAAUGAAGCAUUGAAUCCGACACAAACACCGAACACAACAUAAUCAUGUCGCUACCUAUAAUAUAAAAAAUAUAAGACAACGACGCAUUCAUAUAUAUAAUUAAUUUUGUGUGUGGAACUUGGUAAGAGACGGAGGAGGUAUUAAUCAAGCAUGAACAACCAAAGCUAUUAACAACACAAUUCAGACAAAAUUCCCUCAACAUGCCCAAAGGCCAAACCUAAACAUUAUCUUUAAAUGUGUCAAUUCAAAAGCAGCACACAUGAACAUAGUUCAUAACUACAGUUUUAUUAAUUAAAAUGUUUCAAAACAUUACUAAGAAAACUGAAAUUAAUCCAACUAAAAAAAACUGAAAUCAAUCCAAUCUAAAUUAAUGUAGGACAGCAUUCUCCCCAAUCAAAUUUUUAUUAAAAGGGUCUUAUUAAUUAAUGUUCCCGGGAAUUCUUUAAGGAUUCCAAAUUUAGCAAUUGUUUUUUCAAAAAUAACUAUUACAAUUUACAAUGCAUUAAAUACACAAUUUUUCAUAAAAAAAAACUUACCAUUUAAAAUGUUUAAAGAGUGUCUUGGGGGCACUAGUUAACAUUUCCCUUAUUAAAAAAUUUGGAAAAUGUUAAGUAGUGCCCAGUGCCCCCGGAAAAUGUUUUUUUUCGAAAAUUAUGUAUUUUACUUUUUGAAACUUGAAAAAAAGUUGAUUUUAAUGUUGACUUUGCUUUUUCUUUCUAAUUUUGGCUACUUAACUAAUACCCGGAGGCACCGGUUAACAUGACCCAAAAAAGUUCCUCAUAUUUUUCACUUGCCUCCUCCACCUAUUCAUCCUAUAGUUUUGAGCCAAUUCUUGUUUAUCUUUCCCUGCCACCAGUUGAGCUUUCUCACCGUUUUUCUUUGCUUCCUCCUCUUCCUUUUCCUUUGCAAUUUCAAGAUAUUGAAUCAAAUUCUUCAAGCAAGACUCAGCAUCUUCGGUGGUCGACUUUGGCAUCAAAUUCUCGGCAACAUCAGCAGGUGACAUAUUAGUCUCUCCCAACAACUUUUCAAUAAUUGGAAACAAAUCACCAUGAGACUCAACAUCCAAGUAGUUCUUAGCAAGAACCUUGAACGCUUGAUAUCUACAAUAGGACAUUUCUAUGUGUUUAUCCAUCCUUCCCCUCCUAAUUAGAGCAGGAUCAAGUUUGUCCACAAAAUUAGUUGUGAAAAUUAUGAUCCGUUCUCCUCCACAUGAUGACCAAAUUCCAUCAAUAGAAUUCAACAAACCCGAAAGAGUUACAUUGCUUUUCCUUUUCUCUUCUUCUUCUUCAUCAUCGUUGUCAUCAUCUUCAUCUUCUUCUUCACUUUUCUUAUCAGUUUUCUCUUUAUUCUCAUUUUUAUCAGUAUGAUCUUUCUCCUUUUUCUUCUUCCUUUGACCAGUAAGCUCGAGAGAACAAUCAAUAUCUUCAAUAACGAUAACUGAUUUGCUUGACGUCUCAAUCAAAAGUGUUUUCAACUCAUUGUUAUCCUUGACAGUGGUUAAUUCUAGAUCAUAUACAUCGUAGUUCAUGAAAUUUGCAAUAGCCGAUAUCAUGGUAGAUUUCCCAGUUCCUGGUGGACCAUAAAGUAGAUAACCCCGUUUCCAAGCCUUUCCAACUUUAGCAUAAUACUCUUUCCCUUUCUUGAAUUUAACAAGAUCGUUUAUGAUCUCUUCUUUCUUCUCCGGUUCCAUAGCAAGUGUUUCAAACCUUGCAGGGUGUGCAAAAUUUGUGUGACUCCACCCCGACAUCCACCAACAACCACCAUUGUUGGUGUAAAGCUUUAGUCGCCUAUUCUUAAAUAUAAUAGCCUUUCCUUGUUCCAACACAUGUUGUAUGUAAGAGGAAGUAAUGAGAUCGCGAUGCCUUUUGUGGAAAGUUAGGGUGAAGCAUCUUACCACAUCGAAAGAUCUUCCUGAAGAUGCUUUUCUUCUUGGAGCUUUGCUAUUUGCAGACCACCAAACUUUGACUCCAUUGAACUCAUCUUCGAUCUCUUCGUUGUCGUCCAUGCUAAGGACAAGCGGGGAUUGGCUAUCUUCCACAACUUCGGCUUCAAGUCGUUUGGCUCGUUUACUCGAGUUCGCACCAAGAUAUGUUUGGAUGAUUGUGUAAGUUUCGCUUUGUUUGAGACGCUCGCCCGAUGAUUCAUUGAAAGUUAUUUGGAUGUAAGGGGACAUAAGAUCUGUAAAUUUGUGUUUGUAGUUUUCAACAAACUUACGAAGAUCAGAUGGGCAGAAUUGCUCAUACAUGGCAUAAACAAACAUAAGGCUAGCCGCAAUUGAGCCUAAUUGUGACAAUAUUUCCCCAAUUCCCAUUGCCAUCUCUAAUACUUAGAAACGAUUGUGCCUAUUUUUUUUAUUUUUUUGUGUGUGUUGCUUUAACCUAUAUGGUAUGAUUUUAUAAGGAGUGAUUUAGAUUUUGUAUCUUGGUGACCAAGUUAUCUUUUUGACCAAGUUAUCUUGGAGACAUACAAUUUGUUGAUUUUGUAGGCGUGCUGAAAUUGAAAACUAUAGGCCAGAUUAAAAAGAAAGAAAAUAUAAAAACGAAAAAAAAAAAACAUUUUAUUUGCUCAAUUAGAAAAAUAUAUCUAUUUAAUUCCACAUCUUGUCAAAAAAAAAAUCUCUUUUAUUCCACCAAAAAAAAAAAAGAAUUUAAUUAGUACUAUAAUUUAACGGCGUACAUCUUUCUUUAUUAUCAAUCUUAUAAAAACGUCUUUGACGUUAUUUCUAAAACCAUUUUUAAAAUUCAAGUGGUGGAUUGUUGAAACAUGUGUGAAAAUUGAGUUAAAAGAUUAGACAUAAAUUUUCACAUUAAAAAAACAAUAGUAGUAUUUAUAUAGUGGCAGCAUACCUCUAAGGAGAGGUACAUAAUUAGAACACUAGUUUAUUCAAAAAAAAUUAGAACACUAGUGUUUAUAUUUGCAAACACCACGAGGGACGAUCCAAUUUUAAAAACACUCCAUAUAUAUUUUAGAGAAAUGAUAUUUGUAUAACCAUUUUGUGACAAUCUUUUGAUAAUUUUUUUCACAUACUUACAUUAUACUAUUGUUCUCUCUAUUCCUUUUUCUCUCUCCAUUGUUUUUUACCAAUGAAAAAAGACAAAAAAAAAUUAUCAUACAAAUUGUAUAAAAUGAGUUGUUCAAAUAUCACUAUUUUAUAUUUUAACUAUAUUUGAAGUUGACAAUAAAAUGGAAAAGGAGUUCUAUUAUUUGCGUGAUGCAAAGGGGCGUAAAGAAUCUCACCCACUACAAAGUAUCUUAAUUUUAAAUAUUAUUUGAUGAUUUCUAAAAAAAUAUAUAUUAUUUGAUGUAUAAUCAAACAAAAAAAAAAGAGUUGAUUAUAUGGAUUUUUCUUGCUUUUUUUAAUGUAUUAAAGGGGAAGAAAAAGGAGAACGAGACCUUAAGCAAAAAGAAAAAGUAGGGCCCACAUUUUGGACUUGUUUGAUUAUCAUGAUAUUUUCAUAACUAGAGGAAGACAUUUAUUGUGCCUGUUCUUCUUGGUGGAUGGUUAAUAUGACCCCAUAUGUCCUUUCCGUUGAAACUUGUGUUGUGGAUCUACUCCAAUAAUUUGAUCAAGAAAAUGAUGAAGAUGAAGUGUGCACAUAUAUUCUAAAUAUUGUUGUAUAUCUUGAUUGUUGAAAAGAAGUUGCUGCACUUGAAACCUGAAAAGUUUAAUGGUUAUGUAUGUAAAACUCAAAGCGCAUGGGGUUGUCACACUAACAUUUAGGUUCGAUUCGCCCCCACCAAUUUUAUUGGAUGCAAUAAGGAAUGACCGACGAAUCCUCUUCACGAUACUAUGAAUUCCUUCACGUGUAUUGCACAACCACACCAAAUAUAUCUCUUAACACUAUUUUACAGAUUUAUGAUUCCAGCAAUUCACUCAUGCAUUAGAGAGUUGAUGGAUGAUUUAGAGUAAGAGAAUGAGGGAGAAUUAUGUUGGUAAUGGAACAAAAUUGUGUGUUAUAGUGUGUCCAAUUGAUUCUGAUUCUCUGUGUGUGUUAGUAGUGUCUAUGUAGAUGAGUAUUUGCAUUAACAAACUUUUUUUUUAACUAAACACGCAUACUUAAUAACUUCAAUAAUAUUCGUGAUAAAAUUUCAACAAAAUAUAAAAACUAUAAUAUAGAAGAUGAAAUUAUAAUUUCUCAUUUAUUCAUAUAAUUAUAUUAUGAAAUACAUUAUGCUCACAAGAGCAAAAAGCAUUACCACCAUCUUCAAAGAAGCUUCCAUUUCAACUCGACUUUCUUGACAAAUAAAAUCAAAGAUGCUAUUAACUUGUUAUCAUAUGCUAGACUAGUGAGGUGUGCUUAUUUAUGCAAUUUUGAAAAUGUUGAUAAGUACAAUUAUUUCCAUUUAUUACGUGCAAAUCUUAGAAUCAUGUUUUUUUUUUAAAUUUUAAUUUACUUUUUAUUCUUUGUAUAACUCUUUUUUUAAUAAAAAAUUGGUUCAAAUAAAUGGGAAAAAAUAUUUCUUAUUAAUUUUUUUAUAUAAAAGUAUUUCUAAUGUAUUUUUAAAGUAAAAGUAAUUCUAAAGAUAUUGGUAAAAAAAAAAAAACUAGUUGUAAGAAUCUUUUUACUUAUAGAUAAAGAAAAACAUGAUAUUGGUCACAAUUCGAUUGAAUUCAUAAAUGAUUUUACUAUCUCUGUCAUACCCCAAUUUUUGACCAAAGAUCUUGCAUUUAUUCCCUUUUCUCACUUUAUUUUAUUUUAUUAUUUAUUAGUCUUUUAGUUUUAUCUUACCUUUUAUUUUCCAUCUUUUAGUUUUGUUUUAAUUUGUUUUUAUUUCGUAUUAGAUUUAUUUUAUUUUUCAUUUCUUUUUAAUUAAUUAGUGUCGAAAAAAAUCAAAGCUUAUUUUAAAUUUAUUUAAUCAUACCUUGAGUCUAUCUUCUUUUAAAUUAAAAAAUACAAACAAGCUUAUUUUGCCAUUUGUCUUUUCACUUUAAAACCUUUUUCAAAACUCAUAAAAAAAACAAAACCAAUCAAACUUCAAUUUUUACACCGAACUACGAAGUUUUGAUCCCUCACAUGUACGUAGACAAAGGACUUGUCCUUCUAAAUCAACUAAAAUCAAUUUUCUUUUUCUUUUUUUUAAUGUAUUAAAGGGUAAGAAAAAGGAGAACGAGACCUUAAGCAAAAAGAAAAAGUAGGGCCCACAUUUUGGACUUGUUUGAUUAUCAUGAUACUUUCAUAACUAGAGGAAGACAUUUAUUUUGCGUGUUCUUCUUGGUGGAUGGUUAAUAUGACCCCAUAUGUCCUUUCCGUUGAAACUUGUGUUGUGGAUCUACUCCAAUAAUUUGAUCAAGAAAAUGAUGAAGAUGAAAUGUGCACAUAUAUUCUAAAUAUUGUUGUAUAUCUUGAUUGUUGAAAAGAAGUUGCUGCACUUGAAAUCUGGAAAGUUUAAUGGUUAUGAAUGUAAAACUCAAAGCGCAUGGGGUUGUCACACUAACAUUUAGGUUCGAUUCGCCCCCACCAAUUUUAUUGGAUGCAAUAAGGAAUGACCGGCGAAUCCUCUUCACGAUACUAUGAAUUCCUUCACGUGUAUUGCACAACCACACCAAAUAUAUCUCUUAACACUAUUUUACAGAUUUAUGAUUCCAGCAAUUCACUCAUGCAUUAGAGAGUUGAUGAAUGAUUUAGAGUAAGAGAAUGAGGGAGAAUUAUGUUGGUAAUGGAACAAAAUUGUGUGUUAUAGUGUGUCCAAUUGAUUCUGAUUCUCUGUGUGUGUUAGUAGUGUCUAUGUAGAUGAGUAUUUGCAUUAACAAACUUUUUUUUUUUUAACUAAACACGCAUACUUAAUAACUUAAAUAAUAUUCGUGAUAAAAUUUCAACAAAAUAUAAAAACUAUAAUAUAGAAGAUGAAAUUAUAAUUUCUCAUUUAUUCAUAUAAUUAUAUUAUGAAAUACAUUAUGCUCACAAGAGCAAAAAGCAUUACCACCAUCUUCAAAGAAGCUUCCAUUUCAACUCGACUUUCUUGACAAAUAAAAUCAAAGAUGCUAUUAACUUGUUAUCAUAUGCUAGACUAGUGAGGUGUGCUUAUUUAUCCAAUUUUGAAAAUGUUGUUAAGUACAAUUAUUUCCAUUUAUUACGUGCAAAUCUUAGAAUCAUGUUUUUUUUUUUUUUUUUUUUUUUCAAUUUUAAUUUACUUUUUAUUCUUUGUAUAACUCUUUUUUGAGUAAAAAAUUGGUUCAAAUAAAGGGGAAAAAAUAUUUCUUAUUAAUUUUUUUAUAUAAAAGUAUUUCUAAUGUAUUUUUAAAGUAAAAGUAUUUCUAAAGAUAUUGGUCAAGAAAAAACUAGUUGUAAUAAUCUUUUUACUUAUAGAUAAAGAAAAACAUGAUAUUGGUCACAAUUCGAUUGAAUUCAUAAAUGAUUUUACUAUCUCUUUCAUACCCCAAUUUUUGAUCAAAGAUCUUGCAUUUAUGCCCUCUUCUCACUUUAUUUUAUUUUAUUAUUUAUUAGUCUUUUAGUUUUAUCUUACCUUUUAUUUUCCAUCUUUUAGUUUUAUUUUAAUUUGUUUUUAUUUCGUAUUAGGUUUAUUUUAUUUUUCAUUUCUUUUUAAUUAAUUAGUGUAAAAAAAAAAUCAAAGCUUAUUUUAAAUUUAUUUAAUCAUACCUUGAGUCUAUCUUCUUUUAAAUUAAAAAAUACAAACAAGCUUAUUUUGCCAUUUGUCUUUUCACUUUAAAACCUUUUUCAAAACUCAUAAAAAAACAAAACCAAUCAAACUUCAAUUUUUACACCGAACUACGAGGUUUUGAUCCCUCACAGGUACGUAGACAAAUGACUUGUCCUUCUAAAUCAACUAAAAUCAAUUUUCUUUUUCUUUUUAACUCAUCGUUCAAUUAUAUUUUCAUCCCUUUAAAAGCAAACAAGUUUAAGCACAAAAAGUUAAAUAAAAUCAAAAGGUUCUCAUAGAGUACUACGAACAUAAAGAGUGCUAAUACCUUCCAUUUUUCUAUGGUAUUUGAACUUUUUUCCACUUUCUAUUGAAAAAUUAAAAGUUCAGUCGUGACUAAAAAAUAACGAGUCAAUGCUAAUCAAAUAGCUAUAAUCUCCAAAAAAUUACGCGACAAUCUCAUUUAAAUUGUCGACUGACCCUACAAACCAACACGAGUCUUUUUAGCGUGUUUUGUCCUCACUCGCACGCUUAUCGGGAAACUUCUCAGUAGGUCACCCAUCCUAGUACUAUUUCAAGUCAAGCACGCUUAACUGUGGAGUUCUUAUGGAAUGGGCUACUGAAAAGAAGAAGCAUCUUUUUGAUAUAGGUAGUCCCUAACAAUUCUUAUAAACCUUCCUUCAACCAUGCAGUCCCAUACCUGCACGGCCUCGGGAUCCUCUCAUUCUAAUGUGAUUCGAUUCCUCUAGAACUGUCAGGAGCCGCUCAUUGUCGUGGCUUGUGCACCGGCAACCAGUCCCUGCCCUCGUCAGCCUUGGGUGUUACAUGCCCACCAACUUCCGCUUGGUUUGUCCUCAAACCAUACCGUACUAGGGAAAUGUAUGCUCUGAUACCAUUAUGAACACCCCUUACGACUUUAAGCAUUGCCGACUGACCCUACAAACCAACACGAAUCUUUUCAGCGUGUUUUGUCCUCACUCGCACGCUUACCGGAAACAUCGUAGUAGGUCACCCAUCCAAAGACUACUCCAAAUCAAGCACAUUUAACUGUGGAGUUUUUAUGGAAUGGGCUACCAAAACAAAGAUGCAUCUUCUUUUUGGUAGCGCACAAGAACAUGUUACAUCACCGGUUGUAGUGAGGUGCACACAGAAACAAAAGUUGUUCCCCCUAGCCGCAACAACAGAUUGAGCAGGUUCAACAAACAACUAAGGCUGAGGCAACCAUUGAUAUUGGAACAACGACACAGUCUAAUGAUGAGGAAAAUAAUGUGUGUUCAGAGGACAUUCCGACAGCAGCACUAUACAAUUGGUAACUCCUCUUACCCGCAGCCUGGUUUCACAUGAUAACACUUUUAGCAUUCAAUUAUUUAAUGCAUCUGAUGUAGUAGUUAGCUAGAGGUGAUCUUGGAGGGGACCAAGAAUCUGUUUUAUCUCUCGUUAAAGAAACAACACUUGAUAUCAGUAGUAUAGUGGCUCCUGAUGACGCCACGGUUGUCUGACACUACAAGAGGAUGCAUUUUAUGCAUUUUUGGUUAGCAAAGGCAGCUGUGAAUGAUGCACCUUUUAUAGAGGUAGUAUCAAAGUCUAAAAAAAAAAAAAAUACAUAAGGUUGCAUACAAAACCUGCUCUCAGGGUCCUCUUCCGCCGUCUAAAUGAAUAUUAUUCGUCGUAUAAUUGUUCAACAAAAUAUGAAAACUAUAAUAUAGAAGAUGAAAUUAUAGUUUCUCUUUUAUUCAUAUAAUUAUUAUGAAAAAAUAUUUCUUAUUAAUUUUUUUAUAUAAAAAUAUUUCUAAAGAUAUUGGUCAAGAAAAAACUAGCUGUAAUAAUCUUUUUACUUAUAGAUAAGCAAAACAUAUGAUAUCAGGCAAAAUUCAAAUGAAUUCUUAAAUGAUUCAACUAUUUCAUAUUUAUAUAUACUUUUAGGUGUUUUUUUAGGGUUUUUUUUUUCUAGAUUACCUUUGAAGAAUGGUGGGUAAUUUACCCACCAACCAAUGAAAAUGAGCAAUUUGUUGGUGGGGUCAAGAUAGUUCAUGGAUACCACUUAAAAAUGUGCUUAUGUGGCUAAUGUGUAUUGGUUGGGGUAAAUUAUCCACCAUUCUUCUAUGGGUACCCUAGUUGUCAUCUUUUUUUAGAGAUGUACGUUUAAGUGUUAGAAUUAUUAAAUUUUCCCCCAAAAAAGGUUUUAAAUUUUAUAAUUACGAAGUUAUUUGAAAUAUUAGUGCAUAGUGUUAGUUAACGUUUUUGUUAAUCAUUCAAAAAAAAGUUAUCGUUUUUUCUUAAGACAGAUGGGUGUAGACAGUGAACCAUCGAAUCCAAAGGCGGCCUUAAAUAAAAUAUUCAUACUUAUAGAGACUUGCUUGAAGAAUUUGCCUGUGUUUGGAUGAAGGUUUGGGAGGGAAGAAUUUACUUUUUGUUGUUAAAUUACGCACACUAUGAGAUAUUUUUUAAAAAUUAAAAUAAUAACAUGAUAAACAAUCAUAUAAUAUUUCAAUCACACUAAAUUUAUUUUAGAAAAACGUGUUAUAUAGUCCGUAGUUUAAAAAAGAAAAGUAAAUUCUCCCCUCCCUUCGCCUUCCAAACCCUCCAUUCAAACACACUGUAUGUUUGGAUGGAGGGUUUAUGAGAGGAAGAAAGGACAGAGCUUACUUUUUGUUUUUAAAUUACGCACACUAUGAAAUAUUUUGUAAGAAAGUAAAAUAAUAACAUGAUAAACGAUCAUAUAAUACUUCAAUCACACUAUAAAUUUAUUUAAAAAAAUAUAUUUUAUAUAGUUCGUAAUUUAAAAAAGAAAAGUAAACCCUCCUCUUCUUUCUCAUCCUAAGCUCAUGAUGGGAGAACUUGCUUAAGGCUCACGAGAGAAUGCCUAAUCAAAAGCCCAACCAAGUAAAAGAAAAUGUAUAUCUAAGUUUUGAUAGCAUUGAGUUAUACUUUCUAACUGAAGAUCAGCACGCCGAAAAAUACACUUUGUACAUAAUUCAAUAUUGGAUCACCUCGUUCAGUUUGUUGGGUUCGUGGGUUAUUCUAAAAAUGUUCGUUUGACACUUAAUAUUAUUUGGCUUUUCGUGGUUUGGGUCAUUCAUAAAGAGAGAAAUAAACAAUUUUUUCAACAUCAGGAGGAGCAUCUGCAAGCUUUAAGUGAAAAUGUUAAGCUUCCGUUAUUUUGGUGGUUAAAAUCGAGAUAUGUUACUUUCGAUUUUGAUUAUCAUCUUUGUAGGCUUAAUCGUAUUCCUUAUUUAACUAUUGUAACUCGAUAUGUUUUCUCUUUUGGUUGUUUUCAGACUUUUUAUUAUGUAUCUCAGAUGUUUAAUAAGUCAUUUCCAGUACAACUUGUGUUGGAAGGACUUGUUUUGAUUGAUUAAUACUUGUUUCAUUUCGAUCUUUUAAGGUGUGUUUGGAUUGAGGGUUUGGGAAGGGAAAUGAGCGGAGAGUUUACUUUUCGUUUUUAAACUACAGACUAUAUAACAUGUUUUUCUAAAAUAAAUUAAGUGUGAUUGAUGUAUUAUAUUUUUUUUGAAGAAACUAAUAGAAAUAUAAUAAAAUCAAUCCCUCAAGCACAAGAUGUGCCUGAGAAAUCUGAUAAAGUUAAAUACAAUUGCCUGAGAAAUCUGAUAAAGUUAAAUACAAUACAAAAAGGCUAUGUAAGCCAUGAAACAGAAACCAAAAACAGACUUUACAAAACAGUCUGUAAACAAGGUAAAGGAUUAAUUCUCCAAUACGAAUAAUAAAAAACGAACAAGAUGAAAUUAGCUUUCAAACACCAAUAUGUUUGGAGUUUGACUCUUUCAAGUAGAAACUCCAAAAGAGCACUUUGAUUUUGGAAAAUCCUCCUGUUGCGGUCUUUUCAUAUAGUAUAUAAGACCGAAAUCCAAAUGAUAGUAAAAGCUUGCAUAGAAUUCUUUGAGAACCCACCUAGAGCGCAAAACUGAUGAGCAUGAGAAUAUAAAUUGCCAUUGAGAACCGUAACAAAACCUAACCAAUCCGAAAUCAUAAGCCAUAAACGACCAUAAUAGUUGCAUUGGAAAAACAAAUGAUCCAUGUCCUCCUCGUUACCACAUAAAGCACCACAAGAAACAUUGGUUGCCUCAAGGAUAUUCCUCUUACGAAGAUUAUCCUUUGUAGCAAGUCUAUUCAGAAAAAGCCGCCAAACAAAAAUAUUAACUUUUAAGGGAACCGCUUUAAGCCAUAGAAAUUGAUCAAAAUCUGCAGUGAUGUUAGUAUCCACCGCUGUUAAGUAAGAAUAAGCAGAAUGCACCGUGUAUACUUGUGAUGAGUGGAGUCUCCACACCCAUCUGUCAGCUAUGUCAACCUGAAAAACAAAAUUAAUCAACUGCUCCACACACUCCGCCACCAACUCCUCCUCCCAUGCAAAUAAUAUCCGUCUCCACCUCCAAGCACCCCCACCAUCACUCCUUUAUUUUCUGACAAUUCAUAAAGUCUAGAGAAAGCCACUGACAGAGGAACAUUUAACAACCAAGAGUCCUCCCAAAACAAAGUAGUACUCCCAUCACCUACCUUCCUGCCUAUGUUAUCAACCAACCACGUAGACUCAACCAACCCCACACCAGCUCUAACUUGGUUUAACUGACGCCACCAAAUCGAUCCAACACCCUCACAAAACCGCACCCUCCCCCCAAACUCUCCGUAUUUAGCACGCAACACCACAUUCCAUAAACUUUCCUUAUCCUCCAAAACCCUCCACACCCACUUUCCUAAUAAAGACAAAUUAAACUCCCGUAAUCUUUUCACACCCAAACCUCCAUUCUCCUUUUUCAAACAAAUAUUAUCCCAUUUAAUCCAAGAAAUUUUCCUAGAAUCCUCACCACCACCCCAAAAAAAAUUAAGAAAAAUAGAAUCAAGGGUAGAAAUGAUACAUGAGGGAGCUUAGAAGAAGGAAAGGAAAUAAACUGGAAUGGACGACAGAACGGACUUUAGUAAAACCAACUGACCUCCCAACGAUAAAUUUUUAGACUUCCACCUAGAUAACCGACGACGAAUUCUCUCUACCAAAGGGUACCAAAAGAUAAGUUUACGAGGAUCUCCACCAAUAGGCAAACCUAAAUAAAUGAAAGGUAACCGUCCAUGUCUACAAUGCAUUACCACUGCUGCCUCAUGUAACCACGACUCAGUAAUAUUCACACCAAACAACAUGCUUUUGUGAAAAUUAACUUUUAGACCUGAUAUAGCUUCAAAUAAUAAAAGAACAGCCUUCAUUGCUCUAACAUUAGCCCAAGACUUAAUACCAACCAAUAAAGUGUCGUCAGCAAACUGCAAAUGAGACACCGACACAAGUAUCUGCGUCCCAACUGAAUACGAUGUAAACAAUCCAUUGGAGGCAACCGCAGACAUCAUCACGUUAAGGCCUUCAGCCGCUAGCAGAAACAGAAACGGAGAUAGAGGAUCCCCUUGACGGAGUCCUCUUUCAAAAUGAAACUCAUCAGUCGGGCAACCAUUCACUAGUACUGAAGCUGUAGCAGUUGUAACGCACUCCAUAAUCCAAGAGCACCACAGACGCGGAAAUAACAUUUUAUCCAUCACUUCAUCUAAGUACCUCCAAUCCACCAAAUCGUACGCCUUUUUCAAAGUCCACUUUGAACAUAAGUAGCUCUUUAUCAUUAUGUUUUGCAUCAUCUACCAAUUCAUUUGCUAUCAGAAUACCAUCCAAAAUCUGUCUACCCUUAACAAAAGCACACUGAGAAGCCGACACCACACUACCAACCACCUUUCUCAACCGAUUGGCCAAAACUUUAGACAAAAUUUUAUAAACACUACUCACCAAGGCUAUAGGACGAAAAUCAGCUACCCUUUGAGGACUUUCAACCUUUGGAAUCAAAGCUAUGAAAGAAGAAUUAAGGCCUUUAGUUAACUUACCAUGAUGGUAAAACUCCGCAAAAAAGUUCAAUAAAUCAAUCUUUAAAAUGUCCCAAAAGUCUUUGAAAAAGCCCAAAUUAAUACCAUCUGGUCCAGGACAUUUAAAACUAUCACAAUCCCAUACUGCUGCUUUAAUUUCUUCCAACAAGAAAGGUUUGAUGAGAUCCGCCCCAUCCGCCAUUGACAACGAUUUGAAAACCAAACCACUCAUAUCUGGCCACGGUUGUGGACGUCUCUUGAAAUGAUUUUGAAAGUGUUGAAAGAUCAAAUGACGCACAUUCCCCACACCCUCAAUAAUACCAUCCUCGGUUGACAAAGAAAUGAUAGAGUUCGACCUUCUUCUGGAUGACAUGAUACCAUGAAAAAACUUUGAAUUUGCAUCACCUUCCUUCAACCAAUUAAUUCUUGAUUUCUGCCAAUGCAUACUAGCUUGAAGUUUCGAAAAAGCCAUAAUAUCAGCCGAAAGCAUAUGAAUUUCGUUCACUUCCUCAUCACUCAGAGGACUAUUCUCUCCUAUAGCAUCCAAUGUUGCCAUUCUUUGUUUAGCCCCUUGAAUCUUACUGUUAAUGUUAAGAGUAUGAUUCGAAUGCCAACUCCUCAACCUUUCCUUUAAUCUUUUAAGUUUUUCCUUCAGAAUGAAGCCACUCCAACCUUGAACCUGAAACGACUGCCAACUUUCUUUAACAAACUCACCAUACCCUGGAAUAUCCGCCCAACAUUUGAGCAUUCUAAGAGGUUUAGGCCCCCAAUUUUCCUCAUCAAUAGUCAACAGAAUGGGACAAUGGUCCGACAACCCUCUAGGAAGAGCAACUUGAAUACAAUUAGGAAAUAAAGUCGACCAUGAUUCAGAUAAAAGAAAUCGGUCUAGGCGACUCAUCGAAACACCAUCUCCCCGAUACCAAGUAAAAUUACGACCACACAAAGGUAAAUCAAUGAGAGAAUUGCUGUCAAUAAACUGAUUGAAAAAAUCACAGUCAGUUGACACUAUAUUUUCAACUCGGCCUCUCCUUUCUUCACUAUUACGCACAACAUUGAAAUCACCAAGCACACACCAAGCCACAUCACCAUGGACAAAGAACAAAUUAGAAAUGGCUUCCCACAAAAUUUGUCGCCCCCUAUUAUUGCAAGGAGCAUAAACAUUAACUAAACAAAACAUUUCGUGAUUCUUAAUAAACGACCCCUUGAUCAUUAAACAAUUUGCAAUAUUUACCGUCAACCAAACAUCCAAAACACUAGGAUCCCACACAGUAAUAAUACCACCUGACGCACCAACAGAAGGUUUAAAAGAAAAGGCCAUGGGAUCAGGCCCCCAAAUAGAUCGACACAAGUACUCAUCAACCACUUCCACCUUCGAUUCUUGUACACAUAACAUUGACGGCUUCCUCUCGGCAACUAAUCUGUUAACCUCCCUCCUUUUUUCGGAAGCUCCAAGCCCCCUAAUAUUAAUAGAUAAAAUCUUCAUCAAAAAAGCAUCAACACCUCACACACCUCCCCAGCCGCUCCCUCCACACUAAACAAUCAAACUCCCCGUCCACAACCUUCCAACCCUCCAUGAACUCCACUUCGAGAAAGAGCCUGAAAACUGUUGUUACACUGAAUACCAAUCUUUUUUCCCACCUCUAUAAUAUCUUCCUCCACUUCCUUCGCAUUUCCAUGAAGCACAACCCAAUUCUCCCAAUCUUUAGACUUACCAGAAUUACCUGAUCCUGCUGACAAGGAAACUUUAUUUGUCUUGCUAGAAGAAAAAUUGGAAGAUGUUUUAGACGACUUCCCUUUCAAAAAUAGUCUUUUAGAUUUCUUAUCUUUUUUCAAAGACCUGAUCAAUUCCUUUCUGUCUAAUUCUGAGAGUCUUGCUAACUUUUUCAAACCAAGCAACGACGGCGCCACCUUACGUCUUAUAGGUGCGCAUUUCUUAGUGCCAUUAAACACCUCAACGUCAUUCUUCAAUGUUGUGUUCUCGGCCUCAUGAAUAGAAUGGGAAGAAGCUGCAUUUUCCUUCUUAACAAUAUUCUCUGACAUACCUUGAAUGCUUGAACAAAUGGCUGGUACAGCUGCGCUAUCACCUUCCUUCGAAUAUUUAACAAUAUCCUCAUGAAUAUGAUGAACAAGAGCAUCAAUUACAGGCUCUUCAUGUGGUAUACCUUCGGGAACUGAGCAUUGUGAUUUAUUGUCAUCUUCGAAUUCAGAUAAACAAGCAUCCACUGCUAAGCCAAAUUCCAAAUCUUCAAUAAAUCGUAUAGGAUACUUCCUCCCAUCAAUCACAAAAUGUGCAAAAAAAUUCAGUUCUUGCAAUUCAGGUGUUGCUAUCAAAAAACGAGCAUAUUCCAGUCUACCUUUAUUCACAGUAAUCUCAUCAAUUUUGAGAAGACGACCUCUAGUUGAUGCCAAUUCCAAGAAAAAAUUAUCAUUCCAAGCAUGUAAAGGUACCCCAUAGCAUCUAAUCCAAGCACCCCUCUCAUAUUGAACAUUACUGUCUUUCGACCAAGGACGACAAUCACAUAAAAAAUUACCCAAGAAAGCAGCCGCUGAACUAAACAAUUCCGUGACGUCACCAUCCAGACCCGGAGAUAACACUACAUUAUCCCCUCCCAGAGAAAUUAAAUUAAAAUCCAAAAAACCAGCAUCUAAAAAAGAUUGUUGUAUACCAGAGAAGCAAAUACCAUCUUUAACUUUGGCUAAAAGACAUUUGUUAGCCCAAACAACAUCAUCAUGAUAAGGUAAAUACUCUCUAACCACUUCAGAUGCAACACAUACCACAAACAGACUCACUUCCUUCCCCAACAACCAUUUUCGACCUCCCUUCCUCCUUCAACACCUCUGGUUUCUCCUUCACCACCAUCCCCUCCACCUUUCUACCACAAACAACAUCCCCCACUUUGAUCACGCUCUCCCUCUCUAACUCACUACGAAUGGCUGCCACCUUCACCUUUCCUAGUACCAAUUUCCUACUAUCACCUUUCUCAGUCUCUCUAACUAACAACUCCCUCGGUUUUUUCCUUCCUUAUUUCCCCUAUUAUUUUCUCCCUAAAGCCUCUUCUCUACAUCACCCUCAACAAACCUAUCAAACUUAGCUACGUUUUCAAACAAUCUAAGAUCCCAAAAGAAAACAUUAUUGAGUGCUUUUUUCAAUUUGUCAACAUCACGUACCUUCAAAAAUUUUGCAAAACCAAACCGUUGUCCACGCACAUUACGAAACUGGGAAAGAUACACAUCCGCUAAAAUACCACACACCUCCAAAACUUUCUUCAAAUCCACAAACAGAAGACGAUCCGGGAAAUUCGUAAUGUAAAACACAGCUGAGUCAUGACUAACAUUGCUGCCGCUGCCAUUAUCGUCCCUGCUUCCUUGAUCUGCAUAGUUAUAGACACCAUUGGAGUGUCCACGAGAACGCUGCUGAACAGACCCCAAGGGAAAGAAUCUGCGCGCUGGAAUCUUAACUGAAGAGUACCUAGACUUGUGUCUGUUUGAUGCAUCACGCGAGCAAGAAAACGGACGCCCUUGCUUGGAAGUCAGGGAGCGUCCGCGUACAGAACCAGAAAAAACCCUAACCAUAGGAGAAGAUGCACAUGCUCCCAGUCUACUGUCAAACCUGAAGCGAUCAAAAACCCUUCCAGACUGAUCAAACCGCCUCUCCUGAACGUGCCCCUUACCUCCAUGUCCGUUGAAACGACGCUGUCCGCUCCGUCCGUCCUGUUCCGGUCUCAAUGAUUUCCUUCUCCUAUUUCUCACCCAGACCCAUUCCCCAUAUGUCCCACCCUUUUCUGCCUCCCCGGCAUAUGGCCCUUCCCCCCCGUUCGAACGCGUGACCGGCGAAGGAGACCGGCGUGAUGGUUGCCGGAAGCCAGCAGGUCGUGCGCCCUCUCUCCUAAACUCUCUCAUAACGUGUAAAUAUUAUUCAAUGGAUUGAUGUAUUAUAUGAUUGUUUAUCAUGUUAAUAUGUUAACUUCUUAUAAAACAUUUCAUAGUGUCUAUAAUUUAAAAAUGAAAAGUAAACCUCCCCUCCUAAACCCUCCAUCCAAGCACAUCCUUAAAAAACAUUACAUAAAGACUUUAAUAGAAAGUGAAACAUGUCCUUAAUUUGGUUAAGUCUAGUCUUCCAUCUCAAAGUUUCGAAAUGAUCAUCUCUGAAUCAAACAUAAACCUAUGAUAAAUAAAAAGAAAAUAAGGCUUCAAUUAUUUGUUUUUUUUUUUUUAUCAAGGUUAUGGGCUUGGUUUUUUUUUGUUUUGUUGUGUUUUUGAUAAGGUCAGAGCAUAAGACAUCAAGAAAGAGAAUAUGUGAUUUCUCAACUAUACUUUAAACAUGUGCCUAGUGCUCAUAUAUAUUAUUUAAAAAAGGUAAAAAAAAUACAAGAGAAAACUGGGGGGACAUAGAUCUAACCCAGUAAAACCGCCCAAGUGUGUAAGUCGACCUCAAACGGGUGAUACAAAAAUUAAAACCAACACACAAGUGUAUCAACCUCUAAUUAAUCCUAAAACUAACUAAAGGUCUUUGAUGCGGUGAUUGAACCCUCCGUCAACACGGACACGAUUCAUGUACCAUCAACUCCCUACAACAAUGGCAGCAAGCUAAACGACCAUUUCGAGCCUCACAGUCCAAAUCAAACGAAGUGAAUGACAGAUAUUAUUAAACUAGCGUAUGAAUCGUCUGUCAACAUAGAAACAAUUCAAGAUUCAUCAACUCCAUGCACGGCAACAAGCAUUAGCGACUCUUUCGAACCCACACCGUCCUAUGUCAAAUAGAAGGAUGACUAGGAUACAAAACCACAUACCCAUCUUCCCUUGCACGGCUGACGCAUUCCUGAAACUUUGAAAUCCUGGAGAUCUCAGCAAAUCUAUAAUAGAAUUAGGAAAAACAAGCCAAAAAUGAACCGCAGCCAUUUUGCAAUUGAAACAUGGAACCGUCUCUGCCGCCACUUCUAAGGAAGAUAACACGACUUUAAACAAAAACCAAACGAACUCAGAUGUUGCAGAUCUAGCAACACCGGAUUUUCCACCAUCUACUCGAACCACCAAGUAAGUACGACGAGACAAUGUUUUGAAACAAGUCACGGGAUGCAGCAACUGUGACUAUGAAAAAACUCAAUUCGACCGGCGGCAACAAGGACACCGAAUCGACUCUUUCCUCACCUACGCAGUGUUGAAGUGGUGCAACGUUUACGGGUUUGAUUACACCUUAAAUAAAACUAUGAGUAUUGUAAAUAUCAAGAUAACGGGCUUGAUUACAACUUAAAUAAAACUUUCCUAUAAUAAUUUUGUGUCACAAUAUUCAGUUAAACAUCGAGGUUUUUCAAUAUAACAACUAGUUUUUGGAAAAUUAUUCUUAAUUCUCGUGAAUGAAUUCUAAUAUUCGUGGUAAAAAUUCAACAAAAUAUGAAAACUAUAAUAUAGAAGAUCAAAUUAUAGUUUUAUCAUUUAUUAAAAUAAUUAUAUUAUGAAAUACAUAAUAGACCAUUCUCAAGCUCACAUUUAUUAUUGAAUAAGUAACUAUAUAGCUACAAAAUGUUAAGGAUUUGUAGCCUUUGCAGGAGGAGGUCGUCGGAAGCAGCAGAUGGCUGGAAUAGGAGGAGGAGGACAUGGUCCAAAUGGAAUACAAACCUUUUUCACAUUUCCAUGAACAAUUUCAUUUCCUUGAACACCACCAAACAUUGUGCACAAAACAGCAAAAAGCAUUACCACCAUCUUCAAAGAAGCCUCCAUUUCAACUCAACUUGUUCGACAAAUAAAAUCAAAGAUGUUAUUAACUUGUUAUGAUAUGCUAGACUAGUGAUGUGUGUACCUAUUUAUACAAAUUUGAAAAUGUUGAUAAUUACGUAAAUGCAAAUCUUAGAAUCAUAUUUUUUUAACUUUAAUUAAUUUUUUAUUCUUUGUGUGACUCUUUUUAAGUCAAAAAACAGGUACAAAUAAAGGGAAAAAAUAUAUGGACAUAAAGCUAACCCAAGAAAAUAAAUAAAAAAGGUGAAAAGAUAAAUUAAAGAGUGAUAAUUUAUAGAAAAAUAUUUCUUAUUAUUUUUUAUAUGAAAAUAUUUCUAAAGAUAUGUUGAUCAAGAAAAAAUAGUGAUAAUAUACUUUUUACUUCUAGAUAGAGAUAAAUUAAGGAGUGCUAAUUUAUUGAAAAAGAGAAAAAAUAGUGAUAAUAUACUUUUUACUUCUAGAUAAAGAUAAAUUAAAGAGUGUUGAUUUAUAGAAAUAUAUUGCUUAUUAAUUAUUUUUACAUAAAAAUGUUUCUAAAGAUAUUGGUUGAGAAAAAAGAGUUUCAGAUUUUAUAAUCCGGAAUGGUUAAAAGGGUUUCAGAUUAUACAAUCCGAAAUGUAGUUUUACAAAGAUUAUACAAACAUCAAGGUGCAACAGGUUUCAACAGUUUAUGAACUUUUUCGAUUUUAGAAUUCAAACUGGCUUCGGAUUCUAAAAUUUGAAUAAAGGGUGUUUUUGGAAAAUAAUAGGGCGUGAAAGAAAGCAAUAGGGUGGAAAAGUAAUCUCUAUUGUAUAUUAGUUAGAGAUAAUUAAGGCCCAAGGUAGGCAUACAUGAUGCCCAAGAUACUUGGUUCCGAAGAAAGUGUCAUUGUAUAAAUAGACAUUAAAGCAUAAUGAAACGGUAAGGAAAACAAUUCUUUCAUGGUAUCAAAACUUAUCAAAUUCAAGGGUCACCUAUCUAUCCAUGCACUACGCCAAAAAAGUGUUGGGCGUGUGAGGGAGGUGUGUUGAAAAAAACUCAAGUCCUACAUCGGAUAGAUAAGACUCUUCAUAAGAGUUUAUAAGAGGAGACACUCUCACCUUACAAGUCGGUUUUCUAACGAUGCGUUAAGCCCCAAUUUCAACACAUAUUAAAGGUAUAUGUUAUCAUAUAGUAUAAAAACUAACUUGUAUAUAAAGAAGAAGAAAAAGGUUUGGGAUGAGUUGGCGAGGCAAUAGCCACACCAAGCCUUAAACAAGUCCGCUCUUGAGUAUCGAUAGAGUGAAAGCCAUUGUUGACGUCGACGAGUCGCACAUUAAGUAAAUAAAAUUGGUAAUAAUGUUAGAAUUUAAGCUCAUUAGGAGAACCGACUAAUCUAUUAGGUGGAGAACAUCAUGAUUUAAAUAUGAAAUUAUAAUCUUCCAUCUAUUCAUAUUAUUGUAUUAUUAAAAACAUAAUAGAACUUUCACAAGCUCACAUUUCUUAUUCCGAAAAGUAACAAAAAAGCUACAAAAGUUUAAGGAUUUGUAGCCUUCCCAGACGGAGGGGGACAACAUGGACCUGGCCUAAAGCAUGGCAAAUAUGGCAAACAAGCCUUUCCUCCUCCAGUCUCUUGAACAACUUCAUUCCCUUGAAUUCCUCCAACAAGUGUGCUCACAAUGGCAAAAAGCAUUACCACUAACUUCAACACUACCUUGAAAGAAGAAUCCAUUUAACUUCACUUUCUCGACAAAUAAACCUAAGUUGUUAUUAGCUUGUAAUGAUAAAUAAGAGGGUUAUGUACCUAUUUAUACAAAUUUACAAAAUGUUUAUAAUUAACUCAUUUCCAUUUUCAAUGUGCAAAUUUUAGAAUAAUUUUUUGACUGUAAGUAAUUUUUUAUUCUUUGUUUGAAUUCUAUUAAAGCUAAAAAAUAGAUUACAAUAAAGGAAAAAAAUAUAGGAACAUAAACCUAAUCAAACAAAAUAACAAAAAUGACAAAUUAAAGGGUGUGCAUUAAUAGAACAAUAUUUCUUACCACUCUUUUAUUAUAGAAAAAUAGUUCAAAAGUAUAUUGGUAAAAAAAAUAGUAUUAUUAUACUUUUAACUUAUGGUAAAAGAAACCAAAAAAAAAAAGAUAUUGGUCAAAAUUCAAUCGAGAUUCUUAAAGUUAAGCCACUAAGAUUGAUGUAGUGGUGAGGGGAUUGAGUAGCAAGGAUGAGGUCCUUAUUUCAAACCUCAUUGCCUCAAUGGUAAUUAAUUUAUGAAAACAGGGAAUGGAGGGAUAUAUUUAUGAAAAUAAGGAAAAAAAUAUAUGGACAGAAAGCUAACCCAACAAAAUCAAUUGUAAUAAAAAGAAUAAAAAAGGUGAAAAGAUAAAUUAAAGAGUUUUAAUUUAUAGAAAAAUCUUUCUUAUUAUUUUUUUUUUAUAUGAAAAUAUUUCUAAAGAUAUACUGGUUGAAAAAAAAUAGUGAUAAUAUACUUUUUUAUUUCUAGAUAAAUAUAAAUUGAAGAGCGUUAAUUUAUAGAAUUUUUUUUCCUAUAAAUCAUUUUUAUUUAAAAAUAUUUCUAAAGAUAUUGGUCGAGCAAAAAGGGUUUCGGAUUCUAUAAUCCAAAAUGGCUAAAAGGAUUCCGGAUUAUACAAUCUAAAACGUAGUUUUACAGAAAUUACACAAGCAUUUCCAAGGUGCUCCAGGUUCCAACAACUUAUUAACUUUUGGAUUUUAGAAACCAUACAUGUUUCAGAUUCUAAAAUCCGAACAAAGAGUAUUUUUCGAAAAUAAUAGGGCGCAUGAAAAUGCAAUAGGGUGGGAAAAGUAAUUCCCUAUUGUAUUUUAGUUAAAGAUAAUUGAGGUCCAAAUUAGACAUACAUGAUGCCCAAGAUAAUUGGUGCCCAAGACAAUGUCUCUGUAUAAGAGAAUUGACCUUCUCCCAUUUGGUUUUGCUCAUUCCCGUAAAAAAGCUCAGACUGAGUUAACUCAUGUUGUUGUAUUUUCAACGUGAGUUAACUCACGUAGGUGUAUUUUUCUGCGUGAGUUAACUCACGUUGGAAGAGAAUGAGCAAAAUCAAAUGAGAGAAGAGCAAUUGUCAUUGUAAAUAUACACAUUACAACAUAAUGAAACAAUCAAGAAAAACCAUUCUUUCAUGGUAUUAGAACUUGUCGAAUUCAAGGGUCAUUUACCAAUCCACGCACCAAGCCCAAAAAGAGUGUUGGGCGUGAGGGGGGUGUAUUCCGAAAAACUCAAAUCCUAUAUCGGACAAAUAAGAGUCUUCAUAUGAGUUUAUAAAGAGGAGACACUUUCACCUACCAAGUCAGUUUUGUAAGGCUCGGCAAGGCUCCAAUUUUAAAACAUAGUAAAGGUAUAUAAUAUAAUAGAGGAGACAUUCUCACCUUACACUCUUGCAUUUGAGUUUUCUUUUAAAAGAACAAGAAUCACUUAAGUGAAUAAGCUAGAAACCACUUAUAUCAAUAAGUGCAAUAUCCCUACUCAACAAUAAAAUAAAAAGUUUAUCAUCAGUUGCACAGUAGUAUCACAAUCUCCACGAAGGUUUAUAUAGUAGGCUUUAUGACUUAAUGAUGAACAAAAUGGAGACUGUAGAAUAUAUGAAUGCUUUAGGUUGGGGAGUUAAUGGUGACGCAUGGAAGUCGUGAAUGAGGUAGUUUGCUUGGGAAGAGGAGUUGGUGGGGAAGUGUGUUGAGCAGUAAAAUUCAGUUGUUUUGUAGGUUGGUAUGGCAGGUCAAGGGUUUGAAAGUUGCAUUCGUCCAAAUGUUAUACAUUCAACAUUUCUUACAACAACUUGAUUGAAGUGGAAGAAAACAUCUAUCCGGCUAACAAUCAUAUUUUAUUGUUAAAAGAGGUUCCGAUAAAAAUUUAUAUUUUUGCUUGAUGUUUGCUUCUUAAUUGUGAUCCGACAAAGGAUAAUAUGCUUAGUCGGCGGAUUAUUGCUCUAAACGAUCAAAAUUAUUCGACAAAUUAUGUUUUGAAUGAAGACAUGGAACAAUUAUUUUUUAAAUGUGAUUUUUAUCGUAGAACUUGACCUCCAAUUUCAAUUAUUGUGUAUAUAGGUGAGUAUAUGCUUUAAAACGCAAACAUUAGAAAGAAAAUAAUAUUUGUAGUAAAAGUACAGUAACAUAUGAAAACUAAAGUGUAAACUUCUGAAUUAUAAUCUCCCAUUUAUUCAUAUUAUUGUAUUAUUAAAAACAUAAUAGAACUUUCACAAGCUCAAGUAUGUUAUUCCAAACAUUAACAAAAAAGCUACAAAAGUUUAAGGAUUUGUAGCCUUCCGAGAUGGAGGGGGGCAACAUGGGCCUGGCCUAUGGCAUGGUAUAUAUGGCACACAAACAUUUCCUCCCCCAGUCUCUGGAAUAACUUCAUUCCCUUGAACUCCUCCAACAAGUGUGCUCACAACGGCAAAAAGCAACACCACUAGCUUCAACACUACCUUGAAAAAAGAAUCCAUUUUAACUUAACUUUCUUGACAAAUAAACUAAAGUUGGUAUUAGCUUGUAAUGAUAUGUAAGAGGGAUGUGUACUAAUUUAUACAAAUUUACAAAAUGUUGAUAAUUAACUAAAUUUCCAUUUACUAUGUGAAAAUUUUUGAAUAACUUUUUUUGACUUUAAGUAAUUUUUUUUUUCUUUUUUUGAAUUCUAUUAAAGCUAAAAAUAGAUUACAAUAAAGGAAAAAAUAUAGGAACAUAAACCUAACCAAACAAAAUAACAAAAAUUAAAAUUAAAGGGUGUGAAUUAAUAGAAAAAUAUUUCUUAUGACUAUUUGAUUGUAGAAAAAUAUUUAGAAAGUAUAUCGGUAAAAAAAAUGGUAUUAAUAUACUUUUAACUUAUAGUAAAAGAAACAAAAAAAAAAUGAUAUUGGUCAAAAUUCAGUUGAGAUUCUUAAAUUUAAGUCACUAAGAUUGAUAUAGUGGUGAGGGGAUUGAGUAGCAUGCAUGAGGUCCUUAUUCCAAAUCUCACUGUCUCAAUUGUACACAAAAAAUUUGAUAUUCUUAAAUUCACUUAUUUAAUCUUAUAAAUUAAUUUAAGAAAAUAAGGAAUGAAGGGAUAUAUUUAUAAACUUAUAUACGUGGUUAAAAAUUUAGUUCACAUACAUAAAUAUUUCAACUACUAUUUUUUUAUUUAUAUUUAACAGCGUUCAGACGGACACUCAUGUGCCCAUCUAUCCGCUUUUUCUCCGACGCUAACGUUAUAUUCUUAAAUAUAUUUCUUUAUAUAAAUUAUUAUAUGGUAUGUUAGACACAAGUUUAAUUUAUUAAACACCUUGUAGAAGAGUAAUUUAAACGUCAUGAAUAGAGAUUUCUUGUUUUAAUUUAAACGUGAUAGCUUGAUAAGUCAAGAUAAGUUAGAUAAAAUAUAUCUUUUGUCUGAUGAAUAUAGAUCUCUUGUGCAGAUUGCUAAAUUAGAUAAAAUAGUUACCUAAGAUUAUUAAUACAAAAGAUAAUUAUUAUUGACAAUGUCUCAAAGGAUAAUCAUUGGCAAAUAAUAUAUUUAGCCGAUAUAAUUUUUUAAAUGAAUGCAACAAAUACGUAUUUUCCCUUUGAGCUAAUAAUUCUCAUUUCAUCCUGUUCUAAUGAUGUAUUUUAUCUUAAAUCAAUGUCGCACAUUCAAGAGAAUAAAUUUUUUGACGAUGAAUCUAUUAUUAAAAUAAUCAUAGGAUUAGUGAAACGAUGUUGACAUUCUGAUAUGAAGUUUAUUGAUGACAUUUUUGAUGGUGUUCAUUUACGUUUUUUCUCGAAGGAAGUGUUAAUAUACUUUGACAUGUGAUAUUAUUGUUGAUCAAUGUCAAAGUAUCACAAUUGCAAAUAAGGUAAAGAUACAUAUUCAUGAUGAUUAAUAGCAAAUUAAAUUCAUUUUAAUUCAUGUCAUAUCGAGACAGCAAUUCGGAUUCAUGAUGAUCAACUGAAUCAAAUUCAAUAAAUUUGCCAUUAUAAAAUAUGAGAUAUUUACUUGAAAGAAAAAAAAAAAAAAAAAAUAUUUAUACAAUGAUGUCCCAACGGAUAUUGAACAAAUUUUAAAUCAAAUUCCAAAAACAUUCUUAUCUGUCCGGUAAGAGACUGAUGUAGACAGCAGUCGCAGAAAGUGCUAUAGUACGGUGUCGACGAGUUUUCGCGGUAAAACGAAAGGUGUCUGCAGUCACGUUAGCACGCUAACGCUCAAAUCAUUAUUGGAAUUGAGAAAGGGUGUGCAAAACGUGUGCGAAAGGUGAAUCGUACUUUGAAGGUGAAUCUAAGUCACCCUUAUAAUGGCGUGAGUGAGAAUAACUCUUCCAUAAGAUGCGACACAUGAUUAGGAGGAAGUUAAAGGACAUGUGUAUGGCGACUGAUGCACAAAAGCGUGCUCUAGUGAGGUGGUGUACACUGACUGCAGACAUCUUUCGUAGCCUAGUGGGCGUUUGGUCCAUGUGUCAUAGUGGAAGUGGCCUUCUGACCAGUCCAGAACACAUUACCUUUUUAAGAAAAUCAUUUUUACAUAAAAAUAAUAAUCAUUUUUCAAUUCUAAAAAAAUUCAGUAUUUAAAAAAAAAAAGCAUAAACCCUAAGUGGUAAUGAAGAUAGUUCAUGCGCUCUUAUCUAGCUAUCUCAUCGACUGUCUCUGUAAUCUAUAAGUAUAAGAUAUACAUAUUCAGAAUGAGGAACACAAAUUCGCAACCUCGUCGCUCGCUAUCAAACAUUUUCUGUUGUCAAUUUAAAUUUGUCUAUAGAAUGAAUUACUGGUAGUUUUAUGGAGAGCUUGUUGAAGAUAAUUUUUUACAACUCUUUUGUAUCUUAUUGUAAAGAACUCAUUGAUAGUGGAUUGAAGAAAUCAAUCUCCCCUAACGUCGGUCAUUGUUGGAACGAAAUGCUAAUUGAUGUUGUUCUUUUUUCUCUAUUAUCUUUAUCUUGUUUAUUCUUUGAUUAUUGGUUGCUAUUGAUACUUGCACCACAAAUUUAAAUUUGAUUGUGUGAGAUUUGGAGUUACUAAGUUCACAUCAAUCAUUAUAUUUAUCUAAUUCACGAAACAAUUAAGAGACAUCGUAAUAAACAUGAUAUUCCAGUCUCUAAAAAGCACCAUCAUCACAAUCUGCCUUAGCAAACCAGCCGUCAUGAAAAUGCAUACAUGAUAGAACCAAUUCUAACACCAAGAAAUGUCAAAAUAUAUAGGAGAACAACAUUGAUACCUAUAUAUUAUCUAUUUCUUUCAUCAUAUUUAUCCCUUUUUGUAAGCAUAUAUUUGUGAGUGGAAACCGGUGCUUAUAAAAAGAGACGGAGAAAGUAAUAAUCAGGCAUGAAUAACCAAAGCAAUUACUCUAAUAAGAAAAUAUUGAUUUAAGUUAGGGACAGUAUUUUAAGGUGAUGCUCACCCAAAAGGAGCCAAAGCAGCAAAUAUGAACAUAAUUCAUAACUUUUAUUUUAUUAAAAAGUUUCAAAGCAUUAUUUAAAAAACUAAAACAAAUCCAAACUAAAUGCAUGACAAUAUUCUCCUUAAUCUAUAUGAUUAAAAAAUCUUCCUCAUAUUUUUCACUUGCCUCCUCCACCUUUUCUUCAAAUAUUUCAGUUGCCUCCUCUACCUUUUCAUCCUCUUGAGCCAAUUGUUGUUUAUCUUUAUCUGCUUUCAGUUGAGCUUUUUCAGUCUUUUUCUUUGCAUCCUCCUUUUCCUUUUUCUUUGAAAUCUCAAGAGAUUGAAUCAAAUUCUUCACGCAAGUCUCAACAUCUUCAAUGAUCGUCUUUGGCAUCAAAUUCUCAGCAACAUCAGCAGGUGUCAUAUUAGUCUCUCCCAACAACUUUUCAAUAAUUGGAAACAAAUCAUCAUGAGACUCAACAUCUAAGUAGUU